rnacentral:lncRNA from 1 species
AUGGAGGAACAAGAAAACCUAAGAAAAAAGGUUACUGAUUUGAUUAAAAAACAAAAGCUGCCAGCUGUGAGGAAGAUUGUGAAGGGGAAGGAUGAUUCAAAACCAUGGAAUGCAGAUGCUAGGGCUAAGGUUUGUGUGCUUGUAAUCAUUGAUAAAGGCUAAUUUUCUUGAACAAAUGUAUCGUGUACGAAUUUGAUUUCUGUCCUUGCACUUUGCAGGUUGGAAGCCGUCUAAUUGAAUUGCUGUUACAAACAGCUUAUAUACAGCCUCCCUGUGAUCAGUUAGCUGAUACUCCAUCUGAACCUCGACCUGCAUUUUUACAUACAUUCAGAACUGUGUCGUAUGAAAAUAAGCAUGGAGUCAUUCUUUAAUUGACUCGAUGAGCUCAAUUUAUAUUUUCUUCCUUGUAAUUGCUUCUGACUGAUGCACAAUGGCCUUUUCUCAAACAGGAAGGGCGCAAAAAAAUAUGGUGUUAUUAAAUGUGACCCACUAGUCCUCAAAGGCCUAGAGAAAACUGUGAGUAACCCUGUCAAAUUUUGUUCUUCUAGUGAUAUCUAGUUUUCAUAUUUUAUCAUCCUUUAUGACAUGAACUUGUGUCGGGGUGCCAUAGACUUUCAAAGCAGAUAGGUUAGUUUCUAGAUUUUAGAGCUGAAACAGAUAAGAUUUGUAGGCAAUUUCCAUGGUGCUUCUUAAGUUGCAGAUGUUUGUCUUUCAUUCUUUUUUCUUGCACAAGAAGUCAUAAAAAUGUUGUUUCUCCAAACAGGCUAGGCACGAGGUGAUUCCUUAUAUGCCAAUGUUGGUGCCACCACUUACAUGGAGAGGGUAUGUUAACUUGUUUUAUAUUUACAGUUUUUCCACGAUUGUCUUGUUUUAAUUUUAUAUUUUUUAGUUGGAUAUAUUCCAAGUUCAGAAAUAUUAACAUAGUGUUUUGGUUACUUCUGCUUGAUGCCUGGAGCUGUUUUCAAUUUUCAUGUCAAGUUAAAUACUUAAAAUGGUAUAAUAGAUGAAGGGAUGAAUAUCUGAUUAUAAAGGCUGGAAUUCCAAUCCAAUUUCAGUUAAUUGAAAUUAAUAUUUCAGCAUGUUUCAAGGCUCUGCCUCUCCAUUUCUGUAACCUGCAUUGGAAGGGAAACUAAUUGUCUUGCAGGUGUUUAUUGAAAACAUGGUGAAUGUGAGAUAUGAGAUGGAAGGUUUUGUCUAGGAUUCUCAACAAAACAGAGAACAGUGUCUUUAAACAUUGAAGAGCAUUUGCUAAUCACAACCAUGUCUAAUACGGGAAAAUUAACAUUAUUGCCACAGGCAGGAGAAUUUAGAGAUUGCUAUGGAAUUCUUUAUUAUAAUGUUUUUGAUGUUAAAGGGAGAGGUAUACUUCAUGGAAAAGAAUGAUUGGCAGUUAGAGAUAAAAUAUAGAGAAAGAAAAGGUGUUAGGUUUUCUUCAAGGAUGCUGUGGUGGAUUAUUUUAGCGGAAGAAAAGAUAAGAGUAGCGAAUUGUUGUUUUCAUGUGAAGUCAGACACCUAGUUAAUUUAGGAUUAGGAUAGUACAUAGAGAACUUGAUUGAAGUAGUUCAGUUUCUUUAGGUGAUGAUUCAUAGAUAGGUAUUUAUUUUAAAUUUCAAAUGUGCCAGAAGUGCAAGGAGACAAUAGAUGAUUACAUGGGCAAAAUGGCACAGACGGAUCUCUGCAGUCAAACUGAGAUUUUUGAACCUUAUUGUUUCGCAAGUUAGUUAGGAUAUGUUUUUCAUGGACUUUGGUUAAGUUUUUCAUGAAUAGGUGAUCACAAUCCUCAUUGGAAAAACUACACAUGCUUUGGAAUAUGAAGAGGCCUCUAUGGCAGCUUCUGCCAUUCAACCUAUUGCCUUUAAAUCUGAUAAGCUCCCUAGCGCUUUUGGUUGUAAAUUGCCCAUUAGGACUGAGAUUCCUGGACACACUUUCUAUCUACAAAAAGAAAAGAUUUAAACCAGUGAUUGCACUCUGAAUAUCUUAAUUUGAUCAGAUUGAGCAUCAGACGAAAACCAUUCCAUGAAUUGGUUUUGGGGAAAGAGCACUUUGUUUACUAGCAAGUUUAUAGGGGGUCUUGGCUCUUUCACUCAAUCAUCAUGCAAGUUGCAGGAGGCACAUUAGCAUAGUCCCCACUAAAAUUAAUUUUAGAUCCUUGUAUACAAAUUUGGAAGAUACAAAUUCUUCAUACAUGUUCCUUACAUAUGCUACUUUAAUCUGGAAUUUAAUGAGUUUGUGGUUGGAUUCUGGUUCCCAUGUAGUUGUAGCAACUCUUAACACCACUAUAGCUUCUAGUAACAAAUCAGGACCUGGCAUUUAAGUAGCUUUUUGGUGUGUUCUAAGCUCUUCUUAGAUAAUUGUGUCAUAGCUCUCUUACUCGUGUCGAGCAUAACCUCAAUGCCCUUUGCAGUUAUGAUAAAGGAGCUCACUUGUUCUUACCAUCCUAUGUCAUGCGGAUACAUGGUGCUAAACAGCAACGUGAAGCAGUUAAGACGGCACCUAGGAAGCAGCUACAACCAGUUUUUGAGGUCUGUACAUAUUAGAUGCAUUGCAUGGUUACUGAUGCAUAUUUUAUUGUUUGAACUAAAUCAUCUUUUGGUACUAACAUGUGAUGUUCUUUGAACAAAAUCUCAUACUGAUAAUUUUGUAUACCUUCACAUGCUAUCACAUGUGUAGAUUUUACCAGCUUAGCUUCUGGUUUAACAAGGAUUCUCUUUUGUUUGAAUUAAUUUUCCAGGCCCUGGAUACACUAGGGAAUACGAGAUGGAGGGUAAAUAAGAGGGUACUUAGUGUUGGUGAUAGAAUAUGGAGUAAUGGAGGCUGUCUUGCUGAUUUGGUAGACCACAGUGAUGUGAGUAUCUUUUCGAAUAUUUCUUUUGAAGCUUUUGAAAAGAAAUAUUAACAUUUAUCAUUCAUUUAUGCACUUUUGACCAAAUUUUUCUUUUGCUUUUUUAUGUUGUCCCACUGAGAAGACCUUUUUUGUUCUUUUGUGUGAAAAAAAAAAACUAAAUAAACUAAUUUCAGUUUUUAAAUUCUAAAACAGAUUGAACCAGAUGAAGUCAUAGACUAGUCAUUAUUAUUAUAUUCCCAUUAUUAUUUAUUAUUCUAUAGAUUUUUCGAAGCUUUUGAAAAGAAAAAUAAACAUUGAUCAUUCAUUCACUUUUGAAAAAAAAUUCUUUUGCUUUUUUAUGUUCCACUGAGAUGGCCUUUUUUUUUCUUUUGUGAAUUAUGAUUUGACGUCAAACCAGAUGGAUUAUCAGCUGCAGCCACAAUUAUUUGAUGCAUAGCAAAAUAAUUAUUCAGAAUCACGGUACCUUGGCAGUCCUUUCCAGCCAAAUUGAUGCGUUGCGUGCUAAUCCGAUGAAAAUCAAGAUCCCAAAGAGGGUGAUGCAGCUGAUGGUUGGUUCUCUUCCUUCUUGUGAGUUUUUACAUAAUAAAAUAGCGGCCUUAAUUACGAGAGUACUUCCAUUUUUACAUGAAAAAUGGCUGCGAUUUCCUUUCGUUAUUUAUUAAUCUCUAUCACGACCACAAAAUUACUAAACGCCGACCGAAUAUGAUACAAAAGUGCACUAAUUUUUUUUGGUUUAUUAAAGAUUAUUGGAGUGCAUCUUCCUUGGAUAAUUGUAGACUUUAUUUUCCUAAUUAAUAAAAAAGAUUUUUAUCCAUUGUGGUAGCUUUAAUGCUUUAUAAAUAAAGUAUUGAUCAUAAGAAUUCUAUCAUCCUUACUUUUUCUUGUUGUCGAUUUCAAUGGCCAGUGAAUCUAACUAUAACAUCCGAAGAAUAUAUUGCUUUAGUCAUAAUCUGGUCAUAGAUGAUUUCCCCAUCACAAGCUAUAAGUGCCUCUAUAUAUAACCCUAAUCCCUUCUCUAUGCUUCUUGACAGCUUAUUAAAAAAGGUUCAAGAUUGGGAAUAACAGGUUUGCUCCCUCUGUGAUCUCAGGUUCGAGUCCUGUGGUUCAAGGGCGAAGCUAGGAUUAUUUGAUAGGGGGGCCAAAAUAAUAUAAAAAUAUAUAAUUUUUUUUAAUUUAUUGUAUAUGAAUUGUUAAAAAAAAACUGCAUGAUUUAGUUUUAUUUAAAGAAGUAACUACAAACAUAUGACAAUUUUUGUAUAAGAUAAGAGGUUUAAAACAAUAUCAAAUUGAGUCAAAGUUAAGAAGUUAAUUUCAUCUUCAUAAUAUAUUCAUCACUUUAAUUUUGUUGGUCUUUGUACCUAUCAAAUAUAAACAUACAAAAUAUAUAAGAAACAUUAGCUAAAGCGAUGCAUUAUUUAUGUUUGAUAAAACUUUGAAAUAAAGUAAAAAAUAAUAAAGAAUGAUUCUUACAUAUUUAUUUUAAUUGUGCUCGUCGUUCUUUCAUAGAGUAGAAAUCAUCGAUUAUUAUAUCACUUGUGAAUCUUUCAGCAAUUUCUUUUUCUAUAUAGACAAUCAAAUAAUUUGCAAGAAAAUCAUCCUCCAUCCGAUUGCGAAGUUUUAUUUUAACAAUCUUCAUCGCUGAAAAAGCUCGUUCAGUAGUUGCUGUCGAAACAGGAAGAGUUAAAAUAAGCCGAAUCAACCUGUCAACAAGUGGAUAAAUUGUUGAUUUUUCUGUUUCAACCAAUCCUUGACAUAAUUCAGCAAUCGAUGACAUAUUCUUUAACUUUGGAUGAUUGGGUACAUCAAGCUCAUAAUGCUGCAACUGAAAUCUCAAAUGAGUUUUUUCUUGGUCAGAAAAGUCUUCAGGAUAGAACUUGUCAACAAGUAAGCAUAUAUCUUCAACAUUGAAUAAUUUAUAGUUAUUUUUAGGAUCUAAAGCUGUGCUCAACUUAAGAAGCUCGAUUGCCUGCUCAUUGAAUCUAUUAUUUAGCUCUUGCAACUGUUGAUCAAUGAUAGCUGUAAACAUAUCAACUCGAUAGUGAUGCUCAACUGUUAUUGAUUUUGUUUUACGGCGAGAUCGUCCCACACUAGAAAAACAAGCAUCCAUAUCAGGAACUUCAAUGUCUUGAUGCUUACAAAAUGAUAUCACUUCUUCUAAAAGAGUUUCCCAGCCAUCAUCUCUUAACUUCUGAAUUAAAGUCUUUGUGGUAGUCACCAAAUGCAUAGCAUUUAAAAUGUCUUGAGAUUUCUGUUGCAAAGCUUGGCAAAGCACAUCAGUAAUUCCCAUAACAUUCUUCAUUAUAUGCAAGAUGAAUGCAAAAUCAAAUGACAUUAGCAACUUAAAUGAAAAAGCUGCAUCACCACAUUGAGAAUAAGUAGAUCCAUCUAAAGCGAUGUUUUCAAGAACCAAGCAAGUUGCCCCAUACAUUUUUAUCAAACUGCAAAUUGAUUUGAAGUGCGAACUCCAUCUGCUAUCUCCAGGUCGUUGCAAACCACCUACUUGAUUAACUCCUUUACCCGUUUCAAUCUCACCAAUAUCAACUAAAUGUUCAAUUGUAGCUGCUUGAAAAGCCCGCAAUUCAUCAUUACGCUUGCAAGAAGCACUAACAAUGUUAAUAAUAAAAAUCAAGUUCUGAAAGAAAGUGUGAACAUCAGAUAUUUCUCUAGCUGCAGCAAUAAGAGCCAAUUGUAAUUGAUGAGCUAAGCAAUGUACAUAAUAUGCAUAAGGGCCAUCAUUAAUGAAUAAAGCUUGCAAUCCAUUCCACUCUCCACGCAUAUUACUAGCACCAUUAUACCAUUGGCCCCUAAUAUUUUGAACAUCAAGAUUGUGAUGAUAUAAAACAAAGAAAAUCUCUUUCUUAAGAGUUGAAGCAGUUGUAUCUUUGACAUGAACUAUAUCCAAAAAUCGUUCUCGUAUAAAUCCACUUCUAUCAACAAACCUUAUAACAAGGGCCAUUUGCUCUCUUCUAGAUUCAUCUCGAGCUUCAUCAACAAUUAAGCAAAAUCUUGCAUCACCAAUGUCAUGACGAAUUGAAGACUGAACAUUUCUAGCAAAGACAUGCAAAAUUUCUUUUUGAAUUUGAUGCGAGGUGUAUUUAGCAUUUUGUGGAGCAUUAUUCAAAACAAGAGCACCUACUUGUUCAUUGUAUGAUGCUAAAAGUUCCAACAUUUCAAGAAAAUUACCUCGGUUUUUUUAUUCUGGACGUUCAUCAUGUCCUCUAAAAGCACAUGCUUGAAAUGUGAGCCAACGAACAAUAUCUAUUGAAGCUUUAAUACGCAAUCGAUUAUUUAGAAUUUCUUGAGUAGUUUGCCUCUUAACUACCUUCUCAAUAUGACAUGACUGAUUUCUCAAAUUUUCCAAGCACCUGGUAGCAAAUCUAUGAGCUGAAUUCGGAUUUUUUCCCAUAUGAGUUAAAAAAGCACAUCGUUCCCCGUCAUUAACUUUCUUCCAACAAUUGAAUCCUUUAAUAGUAAAUGUGUCUGAUCUUGGCUUUCCAGAUGACUUACUUGAAAAUAGAUAGCAAGGGAAACAAAAUGCAGUAUUUUUCUCUGAAUAUUCAAGCCAUGGAUAACUUUUGAACCAAUGAAACUGAAAUCGACGAGGAUGUUUUUUACCAGUCAGCGGAUAUUCAGACAUCAAAGGUUGAUAUGGCCCCAAAUUAAUGUAUGCCCUUCUAAUUUCAUCUUGUUGAUUAACCGGGUAUUCCCAAAUUUGAGGACGAUUGCUUGGAUCUCUAAUCAGAUGAGUAGUGUCGAUUCUAGUUGGAGGCCGCUCGUUAAUCAAUGCAGGUUCUUCAUAAACUGAAGCAUAUUGGAGUUGUUCAACUAUAACUUCAACAUUACACAUUGGAGUUGAUUCACUAGGCUGUGAGUUAUCAAUAUUUUUUCUCUUUUUCUCAAAAAAGGAAUCAAUUCUUCUUAUUUUGUUCAUGGUUCAACCUAAAAUCAAAACAUCAUAAAUUUUUAUUGUUUCCUAUUUAAAAAAUAAAUACAAAUAACAAUGUAUUGAAGCAAUAAUCAGAACCAAAAAUAAAUUUUUACAUGUAAACAACACUGACAUAUAAAAGUAAAAUUAACAUAUUAAAAAAAGAAAUUGAUAUAUAAAAGCAUAUCUAACAUAAAAAAUGGGAUUACUGGUUCCUAAAUAAGAAAACUUACACUGAAUCAAAGUUGGGUAUACGCUCUUCAAAGAACUCAAUUUGGCUAGAAAGAUCGUGUCUAAUUGUAUAUUGGACCUGGUGAUAGUAAGGUACACGUGAGAAAAAAUUGAUAAUUUUGGUGGCUCUGCUAAAAACAAAACAUAAAAAAAUCCAAGCAUAAUCGAAACAAACAAACCCAUAAAAUAUAUCCAAUUAAUUAGAAAAAACAAUAUUCACUAUAACAAGAAAUAAAAAAUGGUAAAACUAGUAAAUUUGAAAAAAAAAGCAGAAUUAUAUAUAUAUAUAUAUAUAUAUAUAUAUAUAUCAAAUUCUUAACAAACAUAAAAAAAAAAAAAGAAUUACUAAUUACCUUGAUGAAGAAUUAAUUGGCAGCAGCUUUGCUUUACCUUUAUGCUUUGUAUUAGUAAUAUUUUCGGUUAGGGUUGCAGAGAAGAAAGAGAGAGAGGUAGUAAAGGAAGGGAAAAAAAGUAAAAAGCUUAUUUGGCCUUUUAUAUAGAGAUACGGAGAUAUGGCUUUAAAAGCAAACAUAACUAAUAAAAUAAUAAUUUAGUAUUAAAUAGUCUAUUAUUUAUUAUAUUUAAAAAAAAAAUUUUGCAGGGGCCGGGCCCCUGCUGGCCUCCCCUUGGUUCUGCCGCUGCUGUGGUUGCUCAUAUAAUGGUCACUGCAGGUUUACAUGGUCGUUAACUUUAGGGCAUGUGAGAUUAGUCGAGAUAUGCGCAAGUUGGCCCGAACAUCCACAUUAAUAAAAAAAAAUUCAAAGAUUAUUCAUUUCAAAUGAGAAAAAAAAAAAUCAUAACGAGCGAAUCUUGUGAAUAAAUUACCGUAUUUGGACGCAACGAAACCGAGAAAAAACAAAGGUAAAGUCUAGACAAGAGCGCGCGCAUAAACUAUUUAUUGAUGAGCUUGUUCGUAUCAACAUAAAUAAAUAUCAAAGUAAUCCAAGCAAACUUUUGCAGAUUACGAAGAAUCUAAGUCGACAAAAAAGCUUUCAAUCAAAGUGUAUAUUUGAUAUAGAUUCAGUUUAGUAAAAAUUGUUUUUUAAUAUUUUAUUUUUAUUUUUAAAAAUUUAUUUUUAACAUGAAAAGCAUAUAAAAACAUUAUAAAAGAUUGAAAAAUUACAGUAAACCAUAUAACUUUUUGAAAGAUUUUGUACACGAAACCCUUGCUUAAUGACCGUGUAAAAUCAACACCCUUGGACGGUACUUUUGCUACAGUUUUUUGGAUAGUUCAAACUCAUUUAAAGUAUUUUUAGUUGGAUGUUCAUAUAGGUGAAAACAAAAGGAUUACUGUUACCUAACAUGAAGUCGAAUGAAGGUUGACAAAGUCAAAGACAGCGAUCAGACACGCAAAAAUGCAAUGAAUCAGCAUGUUCUGGACUUCCCACAGAUACACCUGUUUUCUACCACACUGAUUUUGGGACCCAUUAUAUCUGAAAAUGUCUUCAACAAAGCAUCUUCUCCUUCUUUCUUUUUCUUUUUUUUUUUAAAAUCUUUUGAUAUGCAUAUUAAUUCAACAUUACAUAAGGGCUAAGGUUUUUGUGAAUAAGGGGCUAUUCACACAAAAGAAUAAAAAGCCAUGAACAAAUGUGCAGCAGACAUCCAUCAAUGCAAGAAGUGCCCAUUUUCAAGAACUCUAAGCAACUCCUGAAUCAUUAUAAGAAGCACAAUACUGUCCAGUUGUUCUCAUGAAAUUAUUUUCCUCUAACCUCAUUAACAAUUCAUUGAGAAUCCCAAUAACUGAUUCAGUCACUUAAAAACCUGAACAAAACCCUCAAAUAUCAAAUCUUUAUAUGUUUCAAUAUCUAAAAAGAAGAAAAAACAACCAAAUUUUCGAACUUUUUCCCUCUAUUUAAAAAAGGGGGAAAAAAAAGCAAUAUAGGCCAUCGAUUUCUUUUCCUUUUUUUGUUACAUGGAGAGCAGGUAGAUCUCAUUAAGGCAAAUAAUUCAUCAAUUAGGAGGUGAUGCCACCUAACUCGGCAUUUGACGCAACACUGAUGAAUUAUAGAAAAAGUGAUGUGGCAGAGGUAAUAGAAAUUAAGGGUUUUGAGCAAUUUUUCAGAGCUAAAUAGAGAUUUAUCACAAACAAAUUUUAUUAGUAAAUGCUUUUAUAAACAAGUGAGAUAAGGCUAAAUCUAAAAGAAUGCUUGAUGAAUCACACCAAACUAGCAAAAUGAUAAUAAAAUAUCAUAAUUUUUUAUCUUACUAUUGAAUUAGACUAAAAUUUCUAUAGAUUAUUUCUAAGGCUUAGUUUUAUAAGUUGCUGCGCUUGCGGCAACCAUAUAUUCGAGUCCUGGAAGACCUCAAAUCAUGCCUCAAUGAUACUGUUUGAUUCAAUUUUAUUAUUUUUCCUUGAUUUAUUUUGGAUUUUACAUUAUUUUUGAAUUUUUAGCUAUCUUUCUGUUUUGUUUUAGGAUAAUAAUUUUUCUUACUAUGUUAAGGUUACUUUCACGCCUAUAUAAAGACUUGUAAAUAUCUAGAGAGACAAAAGUUAUCAAUUCAUUAUUUCAGAAAUAAAAAUAAGAUCUUAGGAGUUAGGAUUCUUCGUGUUUUAAUCUUAUUUUGGCUAAUUCUUUAUCUUUAUGUGCUUAUUGAUUGUUAUCCUUGCAGGGCUUUCGACUAUAUCAAAAAGUCUACCCAUAAUUUUCAUUAAUUGUAUUUAAGAAUGGAGUUAUAGUUUGACUCACGGUGAUGAGGGAUGAAUGUUCAAUUUUGAAAACAUGACCUUUGAGUUUUAGAUAAUUAGACUCGGUUAAGAGGGUGGUGGCUAAGUUUUUUUUUUUAAAAAAAAAAUCAAUGUAAAAUUUAUAAUAUUUAAUAUAAGAGCUUUAUAAUUAUUAGUUUGAAAAUAAUAAUAAUUUUGUAAAUUAUUAGAUGUUUUUUGUUGAUAUUUUUUAAAAUAAUAAUAAUUUUAUAAAUUAUUACGUGUGUUAGGGAGGACAUAAACUGUCAUCAUACACUAUAAUUUCUGAAAAAAUAAAGAUAAAAUAACUAAACUACACAAUGAUCAAGUAAUUUCUCCUUUUAAAAAAAAUAUCAUAGAAACUUUUUAUUGUAUCUAAAAUGUCCUUAUUUACUUUUUGAAAAAGAUAGUCAUAGGAAAAACUUAAAAGAUUAGAGAAAUAAACAUGAUUAUUUAAUUUAAUUUUGUUUUUGAGUUUAUUUUCUUAAAAAUAUUUCUAUAAAUUCUUAUUAUUUUCAUUUUAACUAUUUUUAUCUAGACAAUAAUUAAGGGCGUUAUAUGUAUUAGAAUAUGUCCUAUAAAAUCGCCAAAUUUUUAAAUAAUUCUUACAAUUUUACAGUACUUCGCACGAUUUUUGUGAUUCACCUUAGAACUUUUGCAUGCACAUAUUAAUGCACGGUUUAUGGUGUUUUUUUCACGGUCAGUUUUAAAAUUUUGUUGGAAAGUUCUUGGAACGCAAAAAUAUUUAUAUAUGUUAAAUGAUAUGGACUUGAUAAUUCAUUAAAAAAUAUGAAUCACUCAAUUGUGUGGCCCUGCUCUUGACAGGAAGAUCCGUAAGAAAAUCAUUGGAAACUUACCGGUACGAGUUCUUGACCUCAAGAAACCGGAAAAAAUUCGAAGUCAUUGGAAUAAAUAGAAACAAAAGGGCUUUGGAAGUUGGUUACUAAGAUACUAGAAGAAGAAGAAAUAUUGGGCUUGGCUGGAUCUUGUGCCUCUUUAACCAACACUUACCACACGGUUUGUUUCGUCUAGAUUCGUGAAAUACUCGUAGAAAUUUGGUGUUUUCUGAUUUCUAAGUAGAAUUGUACUUGUUCCAGCUUGAAAUUACUAGUUGGUAGAUUUAAUUGCCAAAUUUCUUGAUCUUACCUUCUGUUUCAUGUUUGACCACAGGAGCAGGCCUUAUACAAAAUAGCGUGGAAAGCAAUUGCUGAACCAAGCGAGCAAGUUGAGGCCAGAAGGGAUCGGUACUAGUUUAUCGCUAUAGGGAUUUUCAUGGCUUCCACCAGCGUGCAAGGAAUAACCUCAUCUUCAUCUUCUUCUUCUUCUUCUCCUCCACUAUAUAUGUAUGAUGUGUUCCUUAGUUAUAGAGGCAAAGACACCCGGAACAACUUUACUAGUCAUCUAUAUUAUAAUCUGGCACAGAGAGGCAUCGAUGUGUACAUGGAUGAUAGGGGGCUCGAGAGAGGAAAGACCAUCGAACUUGCUCUCUGGAAGGCCAUUGAAGAAUCAAGGUUUUCAGUCAUUAUAUUUUCAAGAGAUUACGCUUCUUCACCAUGGUGCUUGGAUGAACUUGUCAAGAUUGUUCAAUGCAUGAAAGAGAAGGGUCACACUGUUCUGCCAGUUUUUUAUAAUGUGGAUCCCUCAGAGACAUAUGAGAAAGCCUUCGUUGAGCAUGAACAAAAUUUCAAGGAAAACUUGGAGAAGGUCCGGAACUGGAAAGAUUGUCUCUCUACGGUGGCCAAUCUAUCUGGCUGGGACGUCCGGAAUAGGUAAAUCAUCUAUCUACUUAUUCUUAUUCUCAAAUCUGCCCUGUAUUGUUUCGUUGAUGAACAAGCAUAAUAGUAAAUGUGUAUUUUUCAUAUGCAUGAAUUUUUAUUUUUAUUUUUUUAUGAUAUUUUGAACUGAUGUGAUCAAGCAUUUCUAAUCUUUAUAUAAAACUUCUUUCUAUUCUUAGGUUUUUCUAUAUAUUUUGAAAAUAAAAUAAAAUAUUAAACAGAAAAAUUAAAAUGAAUAAAAAUGUUGAAAAACAAAUCUAGCAUGAACAAAUAAAAAAGUUAGGUAAAAAAUUAAAAAUUGUGAAGAAAUAACAACAAAUUCAUCAUAAGAAAUAAAAAAUUGACCAAAGUUUUUGAAUAUGUUAGUUUUAUAGCUUUUCAAAAUAAAAUAAAAAGAUUUUCCAUCUUGAAUUAAAAAAUUCAAACUAUUUAUAAAUCAAAGAGACAAAUUUAUUUAUAAUUUGUUUUGUGAAUAUUUUUAUUUUUUUAUUUGGAAUUAAAAUUUGAUAGGUGUCUUUCUUUCACUAAUGGAUUGUAACAAUGAAUUUACUAAUUUUUCUGCCUUAUUUUAUAGAACACACAAGCGAAUAAGUUGUUCUGCCUUAUUUAAGCAGCAUGAGCAAUGACUUAUGACACCCAAAAAAGAUCUUCAUUGAUGUUUUCUCAUUCACCACGACAUGAGCUACCUCCCGGAGUGGCAUGUGUGGAGUAAUUAUUUUUGGUUUGGCACCAAAAUGACUUUCUUUUUUUUUCUUUUCUUGUCUUUUUCCUUGAAUACCGCACCCGACCUUCUAAACUUGUAUAGUAACUCUUCAAUUUGGAUAUCAACUAUGUUAAUCUGGGAAAAAAGAAAGACUACUAUGGAAAGAAAUCCGAAAAUAAGUUGUUUUUUAAAAAGUUUACUAUGCAAGAUAGUUGAAAUUUUUGUUAAAAAUAAUUAUAAAAUUAACUUAGUGUUCGACAAAAAAUAUGAUAGAACUCCAUUUGCUUUUUUGGCCAGUUAAAACCAAACUUAAUGAAUAUUUUAUUUCCUAGCUGUUGUUGUAUGCUUGCUUCUGUAGUAUCUGUGUGAUUUUAUAGGCAAUAAGAUAGCUAUUGUACGGAUCAUUCUUAGCAUUAAUACAAUCCUAGUUUCGUUUUCAGUUUAUUCUUUCCUUUUCCUCUCUGUUCUUGAAUCUAUCUAUUAUCAGGGCCCUAUUUUUCUCAAAGGUUGGUGUAUUAAUUUCCGGCUAACAGCCAUACAUUUUCGAGCUACAAUAUGCUAAUGUCUAUUUUCACAUUAUCACUAUCUGAUUUGAUUUCUGCACACUGCAUGAUUAAUGUUUUGCACCCUUCUAUGCAGGAAUGAAUCGGAAUCAAUUAAAAUAAUUGCUGAAUACAUAUCGUACAAACUAAGCGUCACUCUACCAACAAUUAGCAAAAAAUUAGUUGGAAUAGAUUAUCGUGUAAAGGUAUUAAAUGGCUAUAUAGGUGAAGAAGUAGGCAAAGCAAUCUUCAUAGGGAUUUGCGGAAUGGGUGGCAUAGGUAAGACGACUGUUGCAAGGGUAUUAUAUGAUAGGAUUCGUUGGCAAUUUGAAGGCAGCUGCUUCUUAGCAAAUGUCAGGGAUGUUUUUGCUGAGAAAGGUGGACCACGCCGUUUACAGGAACAACUUCUUUCUGAAAUCUUAAUGGAACGUGCUUCUGUAUGUGAUUCUUAUAGAGGGAUUGAGAUGAUAAAGCGGAGGUUACGACUUAAAAAGAUUCUUCUUAUCCUUGAUGAUGUAAAUGACAAAAAACAACUAGAAUUUUUGGCUGCAGAGCCUGGAUGGUUUGGUCCAGGGAGCAGAAUUAUCAUAACAAGCAGAGAUAAAAAUGUGUUUACUGGAAAUGAUGAUACUAAAAUUUAUGAGGCUGAGAAAUUGAAUGAUGAUGAUGCUCUUAUGUUAUUCAGCCAGAAAGCUUUCAAAAAUGAUCAACCUGCUGAAGAUUUUGUGAAACUAUCUAAGCAAGUUGUGGGUUAUGCUAAUGGCCUUCCACUGGCUCUUGAAGUUAUAGGUUCGUUUUUGUAUGGAAGAAGAAUCCCUGAAUGGAGAGGUGCGAUUAAUAGAAUGAAUGAGAUUCCUGACGAUGAAAUUAUUAAAGUGCUUCUCGUUAGUUUUGAUGGCCUCCAUGAAUUAGAGAAGAAAAUAUUUUUAGACAUUGCCUGUUUCCUUAAGGGAUUUAAAAUUGAUCGAAUAACAAGGAUACUUGACGGGUGGCGUGGAUUCCAUACAGGUAUUGGAAUACCAGUUCUUAUUGAGAGAUCUCUCAUAAGUGUCUCUCGGGAUCAAGUCUGGAUGCAUAAUUUAUUACAGAAAAUGGGUCAGGAAAUUAUUCGUCGUGAAUCCCCUGAUGAGCCUGGAAGGCGCAGUAGAUUGUGGACAUACGAGGAUGUCUGCCUUGCACUUAUGGACAACACAGUGAGUAGCUGAUAGAGAACAUUAUCCAUAAGAUUUCAUGAAGUUUAUUUUAAUUUAUGCUACAAAUAUCUAUUUGUUUUUUACUUGUAUUCCCUUUUGGUUGACAGGGAAAAGAAAAAAUAGAAGCCAUUUUCUUGGACAUGCCUGGAAUAAAAGAGGCACAAUGGAACAUGGAAGCCUUCUCUAAAAUGAGCAGACUAAGAUUGCUCAAAAUCGACAACGUGCAGCUUUCUGAAGGACCUGAAGAUCUUUCCAACGAGUUACGAUUUCUUGAAUGGCAUUCUUACCCUUCAAAAUCAUUGCCAGCUGGUUUACAGGUGGAUGAGCUAGUUGAACUUCACAUGGCUAACAGUAGUAUUGAGCAAUUAUGGUAUGGGUGUAAGGUGAGAUCACCUAAUUUAAGGGCCUUUGUAUUUCUUUUUAUCGUUUUCUAUAUAUUUAUGAUAGUAGCAUCCAUAUUUCUUCUCCCCUGCCUGAUUGCAGAGUGCAGUUAAUUUGAAAAUCAUCAAUCUCAGCAACUCUCUAAACCUGAUCAAGACUCCAGAUUUUACAGGAAUUCCGAAUCUCGAGAACCUAAUUCUUGAAGGUUGUACAAGUUUGUUUGAGGUCCAUCCAUCACUUGCACGUCACAAGAAGCUUCAAUAUGUGAAUCUUACGGAUUGCGUAAGUAUUAGGAUUUUCCCUAGCAACCUUGAAAUGGAAUCACUUAAAGUUUGCAUUCUUGAUGGAUGCUCAAAACUUGAGAAGUUUCCAGAUAUAGUGGGAAACAUGAACAAAUUGAUGGUGCUUCAUUUGGAUGAGACUGGUAUUACAAAACUAUCUUCAUCAAUUCAUCAUUUGAUUGGCUUAGAAGUAUUGAGCAUGAACAACUGCAAGAACCUUGAAAGCAUUCCGAGUAGCAUACCUUGUUUGAAAUCCCUUAAAAAACUCGAUCUCUCUGGCUGCUCCGAAUUUAAAUAUAUACCAGAGAAUUUGGGGGAAGUUGAAAGUUUGGAGGAGUUUGAUGUAAGUGGAACUUCAAUAAGACAACUGCCAGCAUCCCUUUUUCUUUUAAAGAAUCUUAAAGUAUUAUCUUUGGAUGGAUUCAAAAGACUAGCUGUGCUGCCUUCUUUGUCUGGUUUGUGUUCUUUAGAAGUACUGGGUUUACGCGCUUGCAAUCUAAGAGAAGGGGCACUUCCUGAAGAUAUUGGAUGCUUAUCUUCAUUGACGUCUUUAGAUCUGAGCCGGAAUAACUUUGUUAGCCUGCCUAGGAGCAUAAAUAUGCUUUAUGAACUGGAAAAGCUUGUCUUGGAGGAUUGCACGAUGCUUGAAUCAUUGCCUGAGGUUCCGUCUAAAGUUCAAACGGUAUAUUUGAAUGGUUGCAUAAGCCUAAAAACAAUUCCAGAUCCGAUAAAGCUAAGCAGUUCCAAAAUCUCAGAGUUUAUAUGUCUUAACUGCUGGGAAUUGUACAAUCAUAAUGGCCAAGACAGCAUGGGGUUGACCAUGCUUGAAAGAUACCUCAAGGUCUUCUCUUAAUCAUACCCCAACCUUUUUGUAUCUCUCUCCCUCUCCCUCUAUCUAUCUAACAUUUUUGUUUUUCAUGGUACAGGGUUUGUCUAAUCCAAGACCUGGAUUUGGUAUCGCUGUUCCAGGAAAUGAAAUUCCAGGCUGGUUUAACCAUCAAAGAAAGGAAUCUUCAAUUAGUGUGCAAGUGCCUAGUUGUGGCAUGGGGUUUGUUGCGUGUGUUGCAUUCAGUGCAAAUGGUGAAAGUCCUUCUCUUUUUUGUCAUUUCAAAGCCAAUGGAAGAGAGAAUUAUCCUUCGCCGAUGUGUAUUAGUUGUAACUCAAUCCAAGUUCUGUCAGAUCAUAUUUGGCUAUUCUAUCUAUCUUUUGAUCAUCUUAAAGAGCUUAAAGAAUGGAAGCAUGAAUCCUUUAGCAACAUUGAGUUGUCAUUUCAUUCUUCCGAGCAACGAGUAAAGGUGAAGAAUUGUGGUGUCUGUUUGUUAUCUUCUGUAUAUAUUACAUCACGACCAUCUUCUGCCCAUUUUAUUGUUACAAGCAAAGAAACAGCUUCUUUAUUUAAAGAUUCUUUAGCUUUUUCUUCGUCGUACCAUCAAUGGAAGGCCAAUGUUUUCCCUGGCAUCAGAGUCGCAGAUCGAGCUCGGAGAUUCAUUUUCCCAUUCGGGAAGGAACCAGAGAAAGUAAUGGCAAUUAGAUCAAGACUCUUUGAGGCCAUUGAAGAAUCAGGGCUGUCAAUUAUUAUAUUUGCAAGAGAUUGUGCUUCUUUACCUUGGUGCUUUGAAGAACUUGUCAAGAUUGUCGGAUUCAUGGAUGAGAUGAGAUCGGACACUGUGUUUCCAGUUUCUUGUGAUGUCGAACAAUCAAAGAUAGAUGAUCAAACAGAGAGUUACACAAUUGUCUUUGAUAAGAUUGGAAAAAAUCUCAGGGAAAACGAGGAGAUGGUACAAAGAUGGAUGCAUAUUCUCCGUAAAGUUGAUAUUUCAUCUAGAUCGAAAAGGUAAUAAUUACUUCUUCUUUUUUGUGUGUGUAGCUCGACUUAUCAACCACUUCAAGUAAAUGAAACUGGGAAUGCUGAAAUAUUGACUUUCAUAGCUUAAUGUUAACAAAUCUAGGGGGUUUUUUUUCAUGGGAAAAACACUGUGCAAGGUUCAGUACACAAUAUUUGUUUUUUCAAGGUAGAUUAUAGAUUUAAGAAAAAUUAAUAUUAAACUCAGUUGAGUUUAUGGUUCGGAUUAAACCGACAUAUUUUACUGUAGACAAUAUUGUUUACUUUAUUUUUUUUUUAGGUUUGUUAUAAAUUCAAAAGGAGAAAAAUAUUGAACCGGUUAGUGCAUAACCUAGGUCACAAGUUUUGUUUUAAAGGUUGAGUAUAAAUUUAAGAAAAAAAAAAUCAACCUGGUUGAGGUUUUUUUUAUAAAGAUUGAUUUUUUUAUGGUGUUGUGCAUUUUUAAUUUUUAAUUUUUUUUAAAUUUGAAUAUAAAUUUAAGAGAAAACAAUUAUUAAACCUCGUUGAAUUCAUGGUCCGGGUCACAUAUUUAAUUUUUUUUAAGGUUUAAGGAAAAAUAUAUUGAACCCGGUUGAGUUCAUGAACUGAGUUACGAGUUAAGCCACAAUAACCGGAUAAUUAUUUUUUUCUAAUGUUGUUUUUUUUUUACUGGUAUCUUUUUUUAUAUAUCUUUUUUCAAGUAAUUUUCAAUUUAUGUUUCAAUUAAUAUAACUCAUUUGUGAUUUGUUUUGUUUAUUUAAUCUUUUUUUAAUAUAAAUUGUGUUUUGAUGGUGUUGUAUGUAUUUGUUUUUAAAUGUUGAAUAUAAAUUUAAGAGAAAACAAUAUAGAGUCUGGUUGAGUUCAUGGUCUGGGUCACAUGUUUAAUUUCUUUUUUGUUAAAGGUUGAAUACAAAUUUAAAGGGAAAACAAUAUUGAACCUGGUGGAGUUCUUGCUCCGAGUCAUAGAUUUAACGAGUUAAGCCACAACAAUAAAACAAUAUUUUUUUUCCUGAUAUUGUUUUUUUUUCACUGAUAUUUUUUAUAUAUCUUUUUUACAAUAUUUUUUAAAUUUAUGUUUUAAUUAAUAUUCCUCAUAUGUGAUUAUUGUUUUUUAUUUAUUUAUUUUUGGAUAGAUAUUGUUUUUUAUGGUGUUGUUCGUAUUUAAUUUUUAAAAAACUUAUUAUGAUUCAUCAAUAAUUUUUUUUAUCUUUUUAUAUAAAAGAACUUUAUUUUAAAAAUUAAAAAAAAAUUAUUUUCAGAUAACAUAAUAUGUACAACAACCUUGCAUAAUAUUUUUUCUAUUUUUAUUUUAUUUAAUCAAUUUAAUAUGUGUCUUUUUUUAAUAUCAUUUGAUUGAAUACAAAAAUUAAUUUUAAUAAAUAAAUUUAAAAAAUCUAACUGGGUAAAUGUUCCGUUUAUUAACCCAUUUGAAUUUUUUAAUUAUAUUUUUAGUUAUCGUUAAUAUAUUUUUAUUAUUUUUAAUUCACAUAAUUAUCAAUUUAUUUCAUGUAUGUAAGCUUUUUAAUUUACAGUUUUAAUUUUUUUUAUGCACAACUUUUUAUUAAGAGAAAAAAAUAUUUGGUUUGUAAAAACAUUUUGCAACAAAAAAAAAGGUUAGUGGGCGUGGGCCCUAACAAAAUGCUGCAACUGGACUGGCUUGACUUACUAGUCCUAACAACGCCUGACCUUUGCUUCUUCUUUUUUUUUUUCUUUUAUAUGUUUUUUUUUAAAAUAUAUUUAGAUUAACAUCCCUUCUCUUUUUUUAUGAUGUUUAGAGAUUCUCUUUGAAAUGAUGAUUAUUUUUUAGUUAUUCAUUUAAUUUUUGAGAAAGUUUUUCGGAUUUAUUUAUAAUGUUUUUAAUUUUUUAUACAGAUGAACUUUAUUCUUGAAAAUAAAAAUUUUUAUUUUAAAAUAAUAUUUCUAAUAUGUGCAACUUUGCAUAUUAUUUAUUUUAUUUUAUUUUAUUCAAUCAAUUUAAUAUAUAUGUCUAUUUUUAUUAUCGUUUGAUUGAAUAAAAAACUUGUUUUAAUGAAUAAAUUUAGUAAAUACAAUCACGUAAAUAUCUCGUCUUUCAAAAUUAAAUAUUUUAAUCUACACUUGUUUCUCGAUUUCAACUUUUAUUUUUAGUUAUAAUUUAUAGUUGUUUUUUUUUAUUUAUUUAUUAACACAUAUAAUUCUUGAUGUAUUUGAUUAUAUUUAUGCAUAAUUUUUUUUUUCACUUAUAAUUUUUUAAAUACAAAAAAUCUAUCUAUACAUUUUUUAUUAAAAACAAUUUAUAACACCCAACAAAACAUGUAACAACGAUUCCUUGUACAGUUUCUUUCCACUUGAGCAGGAGCAGCUGCUCGAGCAGGAGCAGCAGCUGCAGCUGCUCGAGGAGCAGCAGCUGCAGCUGCUCGAGGAGCAGCUGCUGCAGCUCAAGCAUAAGCUGAUGCUCGAUCAGCAGCAGCUCCAGCAGCAGGUGCUCCAGCAGCAGCUCAAUGAGCAGGUGCUCCAGCAGCAGCUCGAUGAGCAGCUGCUCCAGCAGCAGCAGGUGCUCCAGCCGGUGUGGCAGCAGGUGCUCCAGCAGAAGCAGGUGCUCCAGCGGCGGCGGCAGCGGCAGGAGAUGCUCAAGUGGCGGCAGUUGCAGUUCGAUAAGCAGCUGCUCCAGCAGCGGCGGCAGCAGCAGCUCGAUGAGCAGCUGCUCCAGCAGCUCGAUGAGCAGCUGCUCCAGCAGUGGCAGGUCGAUGAGCAGCUGCUCCAGCAGCAGCAGGAGCUCCAGCCGGUGUGGCGGCAGCAGCGGCAGCAGCUGCUCGAUGAGCUGCUGCUGAUCCAGCAGCUGCUGGACCGGCAGGUCCAGCAGCUGCUCAUGCCGGUCCAGCAGAUGCUCAAUCAGCAGCAGCUCAUCGAGGAGCUCCACCAGGAGCUGCUCCAGCAGCAGGAGCUGCUCCGGCAGCGGCGGCUGCAGCAGCAGCUCCGGCAGCAGCAGCUGCAGCAGCAGCUCCCAGCGUUUUGGUUAGGGAUUUAACUUGCUUUAGCUUGAAGAUCUUCGUCAGUUUUUGCUCAUGGUUUUGGUUUGGGGUAAUUAGAUUCACAUUUUACUAUGUAUGGAUUUUCUUCUUAAAUUUAGGAUAAUCCCAUGUUUGCGGAUGGAAGGAUUGUUUCCAUAUUAAAACUUUUACAUGGCGGAAAGCCCGUGCUCUGGAAAAUUUCAACCAUUAUUUUGGAAUCGCUAGUCUGCCUAUUUUUUUUAACUCUGGUUCUGGGUGUAUGUGUUAGAUUUAAAUUAAAAACAAUAUAUAUUUCUAAAAGAUAGAACCAAUUUUUGUAACUGGUUUGAGACAAAAAUAAUAAAAUUUAAUUCUACAUUCUUAAUUAUGCUUGUCGCACCCGACAUCGCGGCGGCUUUAAAAAUUAAUUAAAUCUUUGGAAAGAAUGGAUUUCUGGCAUCCUGUUCUUUAAUGAGGAUAUUCUUUGUUUAAGGAGUCGCUACCUAGUAUUACGGUUACUAGGAACCCUAACUGGUCAACAGAUAUUCUAUGGUCCGAGACUGGUUACGUAAAAGGAAAGAUAUUAUCACCCCUUAAACGUUUUGCCCAAGGCAGGCUAUAUUGCUAAUCUUUGUCAUUAAUUGCUAACAUUUUUUUUUGUUUUAUACUAUGAUUGUUUGCGUGUAAUAUUUUUGACUCUAGCGCCAGUGAAUAUUCAACUACGAAUAUUUCCAACUCUGGCGCUGGUAAAUAUUACGUAGGUAUCAGAAUAAAUAAAUUUAAAUCAUCAUUUUUUAUAUUCCUGACUCUGACGUCAGUGAAUAAACAAAUAAAAUCAAUUUAUUUUUUACGCAUACACAUUAUUUUUAUUUUUUAUGUAGCUAAAUAAAAACAAAACAAAAUAAAAUAAAAUAAAUUUACAUUAGUAUUUUUUAUUCCUGACUCUGACAUCAGUGAAUAUACCAAAUAAAUUUAUUUUAUUUUAUCUUAAGUUAUUUUUUUUGCACGCAUAUUUUUUAUAUAACCCAAUAAAAUACAAUGAAAUAAAUAUGAAUUGAUAUUUUUAUUCUAACUCUAGCGUCAAUGAAUAAAUAAAAAAAUAAUAAAUUUAUUUUUAUAUUUUUUUUUACAUACAUAAUUUUUAUUAUAUAUUUUUUAUCUUUUUAUUAAUAUUUUUAGGCUGGGCUAGACACAACCAGCCCAGCCCGGUCACUGGCCCCAGCCAGUGAUCCGGCUGGGCAAAAAAACUAAAAGCACGCGUGAAUUGUUCACGCGUGCACGAACACUGUGUGAAGGUAAUUAAAUUACCUUCACACAGUAUUCUUGUAACAAUUAAAUUUGAAAUGAAGAUACAAGAAGGGAUGAAGAGACGGGCAUACCUGCUUCUGUUGACUGAAGGUGCGUGCAGCGCUGAUGAUGUUUCCCUUUUGCCUUCCUCUGCUUCGGGAGGCGAAGAUGCUUGCAGCGCUGAUGGAUUCUUGCCUAUUGCUUCCCUUUAUCUUCCUUCUGUGUUCACUUGUAUGCGUGUUCCUUUUGUUUUCUCAGCAGCUUUUGAAGCCGAGAAGAUGAUGAAGAGGCCAGCCUGCUGGGAAUUUGUUUUGAUUCUGGGUUUUCGUUGUUUGCAGGGACGAAGGCAUUGGCAGGGCCAAUACUCGUCUCUGUGUAUUGCUGCUCUCUUGUUCUCUCCGUCUCUCUGUGUAUUAUUUCUUUCUCUGGAUUUAUGCUCUGUUUUUCCUCUGUUCUUUUCUCCGGUUUCUGGUUUUUUGUCUGGGUUUAGCUUCAGUUCUGCCCCUCCCUGUUUUCGUCUUUCACCCCAUCGGUUCUUGGCCUGUUAGUCCCUCUCUGUUUUCUGGGUUUUUUCUCUGGGUUUUUACUUGAGUUUUUGCAGAGCAGGAGGAUUUUUGCUUGCGUUUUCUGCCUUGGUUUUUCGCUCAAACCCCCUCCUGGUUCUGUUUCAUCCUCCUGCUCGUUGUCUGUGUGUCUGUCUUUUUUUAUUGUCUCUUGUAUUUUUCUUCUGUUUCAAUUCGUGCUCUGCCUUUCCCUGUAUUUUUUUUGGGUUUUUUCCUUGUGUCGUUUAGGUUCCUCUCUAAUCGUCUUCUCCCUCCUUUUUUAUACCUGAGAUCUGUAUUUACAGUGAUAAAAUUUUUUCGUGCGGUAAACUAAGUUUUAAUUAAUUUUUUUAAUUUAAAUUUAAUUAAAAAUUAAAUUUAAAAUCAAAUAACUAUCAUUAUUUUAAAAAUAAAAAUUAUCUCGAAGAUAAAAAUUAUCUUAAAAAUAGAAAUUAUCUUGAAGAAAAAAAUAGAAUGAUAAAAACAUAUUGUAGUUUUUAAUUUUUACAGAAAUUUAAUAAAUUAUAUUUUUCAUCAAAAUAAAUUUUUGAUUUUUUAAUUUUUAAUUUUAAAUUCUAUAAAAAUUAAAUUAAAAGCCAAAAGUUAAAAUUGGGUUAAUGCUCUGCAAAUUACAAACAAUAAAGAUUAAUAAAAUUAUAUGCCAAAAUUAUUUUUCUUUGUUAUUUCAAAUUGGCCCAACUUUAUCUUAGGAAUCCACCCACGACUUGCAAUUUAUAACCCCAAGCCCUUGGAAACUUUUGAGAUUAUACAAAUGCCCCUUCUGGUCCUGGAUUCAUGGCAACACAAGUAGUGAAAAGAGAAACAAACAAGACGAUUUGGCCAAAAACCCCAAAGAAGGUUUAUGCAGGGUUUAGGGCGGCCGGUAUGCUAAUACCAUUACCAUACCCUCUCUAUGAACUCAUUUCCUUUCUCAACUUGCAUUACCCGCGCAUUUUAAUUCAUCUCUCAAUCACUUCAAUUCCAUUUCUUUUCUUUUUCAUUUCCUUUAAUUAGAGUGCCAACUCCCAUAUAUUUUCUACCAAAAAUUUUGAUCCUUUGAUUACUUUUGAUAAGAAACCCACAAUUCUGUCUCUAAACCAUCCACAGUUAUGUGGAGAAACGUCGCAAAACAAGCCACUUUGAAAACCCAAUCAAAGUCCCUCGAUUUCCCUUCAUUUCCAAGAACGUACAGCUUUUUAGGAGCCUCUAGAGAACCCAUCUUUUUUGAGAAACUCAAGUUCCAUUCGCUUAAUAACACAAGUCCACGACUGGGUUUUCGAGCAAUUGACGAAAUAUCAACCCAUGAAGAUUUUAUGGGAAAACCCAGUUUUGUUUUUUUGAGAAAUAUUGAUAGUACUAAUGGGAAUCGGUGUGGUGGAUUUUUCCCAAGAGGGUAUGUGAGUGUAGCUGAGGCAUUGUCAUCAACAGAUGUUGAAGAUAAUGUGUCUGGUGCCGAUGAAGUGCAAGAAUUGCAGCCAGAAAUGAGGAAAGAAGAGGAGAAAGAGGAGCACUUUAGGAGGAGGAGGCUACAUGCUAACCCUGGAAUAGGGUCAAGGAAGCAUAGGGUCUUAAGGAGAAGGCAAGUGAAGAUUGAGGCGGAAGCCUGGGAACUGGCAACGAAAGAAUAUAAGGAGCUUUAGAAGGAUAUGUGUGAGCAUAAGUUGGCUCCUAAUUUGCCAUAUAUGAAGAGUUUGUUCCUUGGUUGGUUUGAGCCUUUUACAGAUGCAAUUGCGAAAGAGCAGGAGUUGAUUAGAACGGGGAAGAGUAGGCAGGGUUAUGCUCCGUAUUUUGAUCUGUUGCCAGCUGACAAGAUGUCUGUUAUUGCAAUGCAUCAACUCGCAGCAAUGGUAAUGACAGGUGGGGAACAUGGAUGUGCAAGAGUUGUGACUGCUGCUUGUACGAUUGGUGAUGCAAUUGAGCAGGAGGUAAGUAAUUUUUAAUGUUUUAUUUGCUUAUUUUUACUUGCGGUUUGAUUUGUAGACAGAGGAUAAAGAGUGCCCAUAUAAAAAUAUUGAAAGAUAAGGGAAAACAUAGAGUUUCAUAAAUUUACUUUUAGACAACCUUCAUCUGAGGUGAUGAACUAGGAAGAAAGAUGAAAGUUACCAAGUACAAUUUUGAGAUAAAAAUCAGCUAUGGAGCUAGUAGUGCCUGGAAAAUUAGAUUUUGAAGUUACGUUCCGUAAAGUUUUGUCGAAUGUUGAAUGGGGUUUUUCUGGAUUUCUUUGUUACUUUUAGACAACCUUCAUCUGAGGUGACUUUAAAGGCACGCGUGACACUUUGCUCUACUGUCUCUUCUGACUGUGGGAGUUGCUUCCUCUUUUCUUUUCCUUUUUUUUUUUUUAAAAAAAAAAGAACUAUACAAUGAAGAGAUAUUUAGGUGUACCAUUCUUAAUCCAUUUUUUGGACCUCCUAACUCUUCAGUCUUGUUCUCUUUCUUUGAACCGAGGACUGAAUCUUUAACAGUUUCUGUGAUGAAACAGAUUAGAAUACACAAUAUCUUGGAGAAAACAAGGAAGAAAAAGGAAAAGUCUAAUGAUAGCAAGAAUGGUGUAGAAGGUGAAUCCACUGCUGUCAUGAAGGAACAAGAAAACCUAAGAAAAAAGGUUACUGAUUUGAUUAAAAAACAAAAGCUGCCAGCUGUGAGGAAGAUUGUGAAGGGGAAGGAUGAUUCAAAACCAUGGAAUGCAGAUGCUAGGGCUAAGGUUUGUGUGCCUGUAAUCAUUGAUAAAGGCUAAUUUUCUUGAACAAAUGUAUCGUGUAUGAAUUUGAUUUCUGUCCUUGCACUUUCAGGUUGGAAGCCGUCUAAUUGAAUUGCUGUUACAAACAGCUUAUAUACAGCCUCCCUGUGAUCAGUUAGCUGCUAUUCCAUCUGAACCUCGACCUGCAUUUGUACAUACAUUCAGAACUGUGUCAUAUGAAAGUAAGUAUGGAGUCAUUCUUUAAUUGACUCGAUGAGCUCAAUUUAUAUUUUCUUCCUUGUAAUUGCUCCUAACUGAUGCACAAUGGCCUUUUCUUAAACAGGAAGGGCGCGAAAAAAUAUGGUGUUAUUCAAUGUGACCCACUAGUCCUCAAAGGCCUAGAGAAAACUGUGAGUAACCCUGUCAUAUUUUGUUCUUCUAGUGAUAUCUAGUUUUCAUAUUUUAUCAUCCUUUAUGACAUGAACAUGUGUCGGGGUCCAUAUACUUUCAAAGCAGAUAGUUUAGUUUCUAGACUUUAGAGCUGAAACAGAUAAGAUUUGUAGGCAAUUUCCAUGGUGCCUCUUAAGUUGCAGAUGUUUGUCUUUCAUUCUUUUUUCUUGCACAAGAAGUCAUAAAAAUGCUGUUUCUCCAAACAGGCUAGGCACAUGGUGAUUCCUUAUAUGCCAAUGCUGGUGCCACCACUUAGAUGGAGAGGGUAUGUUAACUUGUUUUAUAUUUACAGUUUUGCCACGAUUGUCUUGUUUUAAUUUUAUAAUUUUUAGUUGGAUAUAUUCCAAGUUCAGAAAUAUUAACAUAGUGUUUUGGUUACUUCUGCUUGAUGCCUGGAGCUGUUUUCAAUUUUCAUGUCAAGUUAAAUGCUUAAAAUGGUAUAAUAGAUGAAGGGAUGAAUCUCUGAUUAUAAAGGCUGGAAUUCCAAUCCCAAUUUCAGUUAAUUGAAAUUAACAUUUCAGCAUGUUUCAAGGCUCUGCCUCUCCAUUUCUGUAACCUGCAUUGAAAGGGAAACUAAUUGUCUUGCAGGUGUUUAUUGAAAACAUGGUGAAUGUGAGAUAUGAGAUGGAUUCUCAACAAAACGGAGAACAGUGUCUUUAAACAUUGAAGAGCAUUUGCUAAUCACAACCAUGUCUAAUACGGGAAAAUUAACAUUAUUGCCACAGGCAGGAGAAUUUAGGGAUUGCUAUGGAAUUCUUUAUUAUAAUGUUUUUGAUGUUAAAGGGAGAGGUAUACUUCAUGGAAAAGAAUGAUUGGCAGUUAGAGAAAAAAUAUAGAGAAAGAAAAAGUGUUAGGUUUUCUACAAGGAUGCUGUGGUGGAUUAUUUUAGCGCAAGAAAAGAUAAAGAGUAUUGAAUUGUUGUUUUCAUGUGAAGUCAGACACGUAGUUAAUUCAGGAUUAAGAUAGUACAUAGAGAACUUGAUUAAAGUAGUUUAGUUUCUUUAGGUGAUGAUUCAUAUAUAGGUAUUUAUUUUAAAUUUCAAAUGUGCCAGAAGUGCAAGGAGACAACAGAUGAUUACAUGGGAGAAAUGGCGCAGACGGAUCUCUGCAGUCAAACUGAGAUUUUUGAACCUUAUUGUUUGGCAAGUUAGUUAGGAUAUGUUUUUCAUGGACUUUGGUUAAGUUUUUCAUGAAUAGGUGAUCACAAUCCUCAUUGGAAAAACUACACAUGCUUUGGAAUAUGAAGAGGCCUCUAUAGCAGCUUCUGCCAUUCAACCUAUUGCCUUUAAAUCUGAUAAGCUCCCUAGCACUUUUGGUUGUAAAUUGCCCAUUAGGACUGAGAUUCCUGGACACACUUUCUAUCUACAAAACGAAAAGAUUUAAACCAGUGAUUGCACUCUGAAUAUCUUAAUUUGAUCAGAUUGAGCAUCAGACGAAAACCAUUUCAUGAAUUGGUUUUGGGGAAAGAGCACUUUGUUUACUAGCAAUUUUAUAGUGGGUCUUGGCUCUUUCACUCAAUCAUCAUGCAAGUUGCAGGAGGCACAUUAGCAUAGUCCCCACUAAAAUUAAUUUUAGAUCCUUAUAUACAAAUUUGGAAGAUACAAGUUCUUCAUACAUGUUCCUUACAUAUGCUGCUUUAAUCUGGAAUUUAAUGAGUUUAUGGUUGGAUUCUGGUUCCCAUGUAGUUGUAGCAACUCUUAACACCACUAUUGCUUCAAGUAACAAAUCAGGACCUGGCAUUUAAGUAGCUUUUUGGUGUGUUCUAAGCUCUUCUUAGAUAAUUGUGUCAUAGCUCUCUUACUCGUGUCGAGCAUAACCUCAAUGCCCUUUGCAGUUAUGAUAAAGGAGCUCACUUGUUCUUACCAUCCUAUGUCAUGCGGAUACAUGGUGCUAAACAGCAACGUGAAGCAGUUAAGAGGACACCUAGGAAGCAGCUACAAGCAGUUUUUGAGGUCUGUACAUAUUAGAUGCAUUGCAUGGUUACUGAUGCAUAUUUUUACCAGCUUAGCUUCUGGUUUAACAAGGAUUCUCUUUGUACAUGUUUGAAUUAAUUUUCCAGGAUACACUAGGGAAUACCAAAUGGAGUGUAAAUAAGAGGGUACUUAGUGUUGUUGAUAGAAUAUGAAGUAAUGGAGGCUGUCUUGCUGAUUUGGUAGACCACAGUGAUGUGAGUAUCUUUUCUAACUUUCCUCAAUGUAACUCCUGUUUUUUUUUUUAGAAACUCUACCUUUACCUUUGUGUUCCACAGUGAUGACUAUAGCAAUUAAAAAACCUUCCUCGUUUAAUUUCUUCAUUCAGGUUCCUUUACCUGAGAGGCCAGAAACAGUUUUUCAAUUUUCCUUCUUUUGAAAAUGAUUUGUAAAUAAGCUGAAUGUUUUUCUCUUCCCCUAUAUUUAGUUGCUUCUCCCACUACAUACCCUCCCACUAUCUCAUUUUCUUUUUGUGGUUGGAUUGCUCCAAGUUCACUCAUUAUUUUUAAAUUCAAUAAAAAAAGACAGAAAAUAUAUCACAAUAUAAUUUAUGUUUUGAAUUCUAUAAUUUUCUUUUUAUCUUUUUAGUUAAAUAAAUUUUUAUCUUUUUUAUAUUCAAAAUACUAAACAAACACAACAUUCCUGUAAAUAUGAAUACACAAUAUCCAUACCCUAACAAAAAUAUUAAUUUAGUAAUAGUUUUUUUUUAUAAGCCUAACAAAUUGUCGCUUUAGUAGGCAUGCUUUGAAAUAGAAUAUGAAUUUCGGAAGGUAUUUUUUUAUUAAUUAAUAAACUUCUAUACUUUUCUCUUAGAUGCAUAAACAUUAAUAUAUAUAAUCAAUAUCAAUAUUUACACCAAAAUUUAACUUGUUUAGUUUAUAAAUAGCAAUGCGUCAAGCCCAAAUAUAUUAAGUUUGGUGUUAGACAGACCUAGGUGCGGUGAAUCUAGCACUAGUUAGACCUAAGAAAUAAUUAGAUCUAACUAUCGUCAAACCCAAAUCUAGCGCUUAUUAGAUCGAACCAUGAUUAAACUUGAUAGUGUGUCAAGCCGACACGUGUUGGGUCUGGCGCUGGCUAGACCAAAAAGAUAAUUAAGUCUAACUAUAUAAUAAACACUCCCUAGUCAAAGGUUUGAGAUGAAAUAUUGCAAUGGGAGAGGAAUUAGUGUUUGUGAUCGGAACAUCAAAGAAGUUUGAGAUUCUAAAGUUGAUUUAUGGAUUUCUCUUUGUUUUUCGGUUUGGUUAAGAGGGUGGUGGCUAAGUUUUUUUUUUUUAAUUCAAUGAAAAAUUUAUAAUAUUUAAAAUAAGAGCUUUAUAGUUAUUAGUUUAAUAAUAAUAAUAAUAAUUUUGUAAAUAAUUAGAUAUUUUUGUAGGACUUUUUUACAUGUGUUAGUGAGGAUAUAAAGUAUUAUCAUAAACUAUAAUUUUUGAAAAAAUUACAAAACAAACUGAAAUAAUAAAUCAUGAAACUUAAUUCAUAAUCAAUUCAAUGGUGAAGGAUAAAUUGAUAAAAAUAUAUAAAUAAAAAACACAAGUCAUAAGAUUAAAAUAACCAUAUAUAAAAAAACAUCAACAAAUUAUAAAGCUUAAUCUAAAAAAAUUCAAAUAUUAAAAGAAAAAAAAAUGUAUAUUUUUUUUUUAAAAAAAAUAUCAUUGCAAAUUUUAGCUUGGUAAGAUUUUAUGUUAAUAUUACUAUAUUAGAUGAGUCCAGCUCACCAUAAGCCUACAUGGAUGAAUAUGAGUUAAUGGUGAGUCGAGCUUCUAUAAUAAUUUAUGGGUAACAAAAGUUGUGCCCAGUAUUUCUAUAAUACGACGAGGUUUAAUUUCUUUUCUUUUCAUGGUUAUCUCUCAUCAGUGGAUAGCAGCAUCAAUCAUAAGAACUUCUAUAUUUAUAUUUAAUUUAAACACUAAUUAAACGUGAUAAGAGUGGGAGUUAAAUAUAACGAUGCACAUCAAAUGCUCUUGAAAAAAAAAAAUCUACUUCUUUUCAUUCUUAUUAUUUAGAGUUUUAAAACUACAAAAACUAGAUAAAUUUAGAUUUUUAUAUUAUUAUAUUCCCAUUAUUAUUUAUUAUUCUAUAGAUUUUUCUACAUUGAAGAUUUUGAAAAGAAAAAUUAACAUUGACCAUUCAUUCACUUUUGAAAAAACUUUCUUUUGCUUUUUUUUAUCUAACAUGUUCCUCCGGAUAAAAGCAAAACAUUUUUUUCCCAAAAAUUUAAUUCACAAAAAUCAUCAAGUUUUAUUUUUCCUAACCAGAUAUCUGGACUGGUUUACAUGUACUUCGACUGAGAUGACUUUUUUUUUUCUUUUGUGAAUUGAAAUUAUAUUACAUGUUUGUAAUUGUUUCAUCUGAUUUUUAUUUUAUUUUUAUUUUUGAAAAGUAAACUUCCUUUAAUUAGAUUAUCCUUAAUAUCAAAUUAUCCCUUGCUUUUUGCAGUUCUUAUCAAGCUGUUUGAUUUCUUGAUUUUAAAUUAAUUGAAUUGCACCGGUUAAAUUUAAAUUAAUUUUUAGUUCAUUUCGGAUUAUUUUCUCAUGAAAUGAAUCUGACAAUAAACACUCUUAAUAAUGCUUUAACUUUAACUAGCUAUCUCAAAUAAAAAUUAUUAGUUUGAGAUUCACAAACUUUAGAACUAUUGAAAACUUAUAUAGUCAUUAAUUUUAAGGUUCAGGUUCGUGGAACUAAUUAAUAUACAUGCAAGCUAUCCCAAGUAACCACAUUAAUAAUAAUAAAAAAAAUUACAAUCGCAUCAGGCACAUGGUUGAAUUAUUCAUGGUUGCAUUCGCUUUCACCCCCUGACUAUGAACAGGAACCCCGAUUAAAUGAAAUGGAUUUCUUGGAAAUUGAUCUCCUUGGUCCACAGCCUAUUCGGUUAACCAAGUCGGCUACCACUUGCAGCACAAUUAAUCAAAAAACGAUGUGAAUUAUGAUUUGAUGUCGAACCAGGUGGACUAUCAGCUGCAGCCACAAUUAUUUGAUGCAAAGCAAAAUAAUUAUUCAGAAUCACAGUACCUUGGCAGUCCUUUCCAGCCAACUUGAUGUGUUGUGUGCUAAUCCGAUGAAAAUCAAGAUCCCAAAGAGGGUGAUGCCGCUGAUGGUUGGUUCUCUUCCUCCUUGUGAGUUUUUACAUAAUAAAAUAGCGGCCUUAAUUACGAGAGUGCUUCCACUUUUACAUAAAAAAUGGCUGGGAUUUCCUUUCGUUAUUUAGCAGUACGCUGUGUUAAUGAGCUUAAAGUUAUUAUGUUAUUGAUUUUGUUUUAAAAAGGCCUCUCAUCUUUGAGAUUUAUUAAUCCAACUAUUCUUCUAUUAGUCCAUCCAUAUCGUUAGCCCUUUCCUCACUAAUGCUAUACUUUUGGUUAUUAAUUUUGAGAUAUUCUCUUCUAUGUUAAAAAAAAUUCAUAAAAAUAAGAAAUGGAUUAAUAAUUUAAAAGGACUAAAAAAUAAAAAGAAUAAAUAAGAUUAAGGCCUACCAGUGAUUCUUUUCCCUCAAAUGUAAUUGAUCAUUUUAGAAAUUAAAUAGAAGAUUAAACUCAUAAAACCAUAAAAUUAACGCUGUGAUCAAUUCACAUUAAAAAGAAAUAACUAAACUAAACUAAAACAGAAAAAACAUAUGCAUAUUUUCCCUUAUAUUUUAUCUUACGAAAAACCAAACACUAACAAUCAUUUAAUGUGCCCACAAUCUCUAUCACGACCACAAAAUUACUAAACGCCGACCGGAUAUUUCAUCAACGUUUAUACUUGCUAACAUUUUUUUUUGGCAGGAGGAAGAAGAAUGGGGACAUGGAACUUAUGUUUAUACUUAGAUCUUUAAAGUUCUAGGUGGGUUUGGCUUAUGACUGUUCUCAUACCUUUUUUUCUACAAUUCAUUCUACUAUGUUCCUUGAGGAAAUUGGAGUACUCAGUGGUGCAUACAAUGUAGUUAGUUGUAGUGUCACCUGUUAACACAAAGGUCGAAGUUAUUUUUGUGCUUUUAUACUUGCUAUAUAUAUUUUUUCUUCUUCUGGUAUCUUAGUAACCAACUUCCAAAGCCCUUUUCUUUCUUUUUAUUCCAAUGGCUUCUAAUUUUUUCCGAUUACUUCUAAUUUUUUCAACUAACUACCACAAUGUAGUUAGUUGUAGUGCUUCUCUGUAUAAACAGAUUCAUUCUCUAUUCUUCUCCACUUGGUGAGAUUGUCUGAAACUUAAAAAGUAAAAAUGUGGACCCAUAAGCUUACAUUUUGCAAUCUCAAGCUCCACUAAAGAAGGAAGGUCGUUGGGCAGUGUUGUUAAGCUCGGACACUUUCUGAUGUAAAGCACUUGAAGGCUCGGGAAAGCUCUGCCUCUAGUUUUCCAUUCACGCGAUUGCAACAUCCUCUCAAAAGUUAAGCUUUCAAGGGAUUGGGAUGGGUUUCCUUCGGCCUUGGGACUUCCAUAGAACUCAUAACCAACAGACUCUAAAUUAUAGAAGUCUUCAAUCAAGAGCCUUUUUAGAGUUUCUAACUGACCAAGAGAUGGUAAAGAAACACAUUAUUUACAUCCACUAAGCCUCAGAUCGACCAUAUUUUUGAAAGAAGUGUGUCCCAUCCAUCCUGGAAGUUUUUUUACCUCUUUAACCAAUUAUAGAAAGAGUUUCCACUUUUGCACUAAGCCACAAUGCUUCAAGUACAUCUUCUUCUGUUAAAGAAUCAUCAGUAUCCCUCAUGUCACCCCAUCUUAACUCUAAUUUCUUAAGAUCCUUGCCCUUCAAAUUGGCUUCAGAAGCAUUUAGACCAUGAAAAGCUCAAGCUUUAUUAAAGAUAAUGCUCUUUAUAGUCCUAUCUCUUUCAUUCGAGUGCACUUUCUAUCCCUUGUAUACUAGAUAAUACGCUUUCUAGUCAUAUUUAUGUUUCUUUCGAGUAUGCUUUUUAGCCCUCAUUUAUUAGAAAGUGUGCUUAAUAGUCAUAUCUCUUUUCUUUCAAGUGUGUUUUGUAGCCCUUAUAUACUAGAUAAUGCACUUUAUAGUAAUAUUCAUUUUUCUUUUGAGUGCACUUUUUAGCCCUUGUAUACUAGAUAAUGUGCUUUUGAGCUCUAUCCAUCUUCCUUUUAAGUGCGCUUUCUAUCCCUCAUCCAUCAGAUAAUGCACCUUUUAACUUUAUUUUUUUUCCUUUUGAGUGCGCUUUCUAGCCUUCAUCCAUCAGAUAAUAUAUUUUCAAGUCCUAUCCUUUUCUUUUUAGUACGCUUUUUAGUCAUAUCAUUUUCUUCCCAAGUGUGCUUUAGAACUCUCAAUUCUAACACUCUUGGAAAGAUUAACUAUUUUUUUAAAUGUAAAUCUAUGAUGUUGUGUCUUUUCUUAUUUACAACUUACUAUUUAAAGUCUCUUAUAAAAUUUUUUGUCAUAGGCAUUGUAAAGAUGAAGCAACUGUUAUAACCUAAUUUUGGGUUCCCUCAAAUUACAAGUUUUUUAAAUGAAAAGCAAUAAAAAAAUUGAAAAUGAAAAAGACUGAUAAAUUGAAAAAAAAAACAGGUUGAGAAGGGUUUCAAAUGCAUGGAAGAACCAAGCUGGAGUUAUAGACAAAAUUGAAAUCCUAAUUGUACCUAUUUGUACCCAAGAUCAAAAGACAAUGUAGAUUAAAGGGCAAAUUCAAUUAUUAUUGGAUUAAUUUGUAUUUUAAUAGGUCAACUUGAGUUAAUCAUGACCCUACUUAAAGGUUUUAUUAAGUUUAAAAAUUAAUUUGGGUCAAAUUAAGAGAAAUAAUUAAGUGUAACGACUUAAUUAGACUUUUAAUAGGUUAAAGUUAUUUUUAUUAGAAAUUUAAUUGGUGAAAAAUUAAGUUUGAAAGCUUAAUUUGGGCUUAAUUGAGAAUAUUGAAAUUUUAGAUGAUCAAAUUUAUUGUUUUUAAGCUUAAUUGUUUGAAUUCAGGGAUAUAAUUGUAAGAAAAUCAAAGUUUAGUGGUCAAUCAAGGAUCAAAUUAAAGAAAUUCAAGACUAAAAACCUUUAUGCAAAGGAGCAAAAAUUUAGGGCUUAAAUUCGGUUGAAAACAAGGAUGAAAUUCAAAAAAUUAAAAGUUUGAAAUUCAAUUAAAAAUAAAAUCAAAGAACCUUUAUGUAAAAGCAACGUGUUUUUCGAAGCCAUCUCUCCCCUCCACAUCCCUCACGGCUCACACCAUGACACUAAACAUACCUCUCUAUGACCUGCUAUUGUACCCCCAUCAAGAGCAGAAAAACAAGUCCUUUGGCAGUACUAAGAACACUGCCAAUCCGGCUUUUGUGGCUUUGUUUGGACAUGAGAAGGGUGGUCCAACACGUCCCUCACCCUCUAUAAAUGCCAACCUCAUGGCAACCAUAUGGCAGGGGGGAUAAAAAAGAAAAGAAAAAAGAAGACCAAACACUACACUAACACUAAACCCUCUCUACACCGACGACCUCACAAAAAUCAAACAACCUCAUCUCUUCCUGUCCCAAAGAACAACAACUAGAGACCAUUGAAAGAGCCAUCACAGCAACAAUUGUUUUUCUCUCCUAGCAUUCAUUCCUCCAUCGAUACUCUCUUGUGCACCAGCAACAGCCUUGACAGACCAAAAUUCAUUUUGUUAUGUUUCAAUUCGUGAGUUUGAGAGAGAAAAAAGAAAGUCACUUACGUACUAUUGGGUGAGGUCUUAGUUUUUUCACCGGUUAAAAGUUGUUUUGAUAUUUGAUAUGGAUUUAUUAAGAAGUGUGGGGUGUUUAUUAGGUGUUUUCAAGUGAAAAAUAAAAAAAGAAAUUUUUUAGGUUCAAGAAAAUGAAACCUAACUUUGAGACCACCUAACUUGGCCGGAAAGGUUACCAAUUUAUCUCCUUGCAAUACGAGAUUAAAUAUUUUAAAUUGUAUUUAUCUUCUAUUUUUUUAUUUAAUAUUUAAUUAUUAUUAACAACUCUUUUUAAUAAUUAUCAGCGCAUAUAAUUUUUUAUUUAUUCUAUUAAAUACACAUGUCAAAUUUUUAAUUCAUAGUUUUUUUUAUAUACACUAAAAAACCAUUAACAAUCCCUAUCUUUUUUUUAUUAAAAAAAUAAUGUUUGAUCUCGCUGUGAAGUUGCUAGUUACGUUAUCAUGUAUUGAAGUGGUUGAGUUUUAGAGGUAGGUAUGAUAGGUAAUAAUAUAUAUGUAUUUUGUUUCGAGAUUUUAAUUUCAAUUUAAAACAAUUAAAAGUGGAUUAGAAUUGAUUUUUAAGUUAAAAAUGGGUCUCUAGAAACUAUUAGGAUGGGUUUGAGGUUUUUAUGCUGAAAAUGAUUGAAAAUGGCCCUCGAUUAAUUAUAUUAUUAAAUUAACUAGUUUUAUUUAAUAUAAUCAAGUUAAUCACCAAAAUUUUUUUUUUUUUUUAAGUUGUCUCAACAUUAUUUUUUCAUGUUAAAAAAACACACAUAGUGUGAACAUUAUUUUUUUAUGUUAAAAAAAUCACACGGUAGAUAGCAAUCCGCGAGCCACCUAAUACUAAUACAUCAUUGGCUAACAUCCACUGGAGGAUUUAUUUUAUUGAAUAUAUAUAUAUAUAUAUAUAUAGACACGCACAUCAAUCAUGGGUUCCCACUAGGAAAUUUUCUAGCUAUCGAAGCGUCGCUUAGAAAACAUAGCAGGAAUCAUACCCACAGUAUAGCUCGGAUGCAUUGGCUGAUUGAUCAAGAAAGGGUUCUACGAAUCUAAUAUAGUUUGUUUUCACUUGACUACAAAAUUAACAAAGGCCACUCAUCUUCUAGAGUGAAGGAACCCUUCUCCAAUAUCAAAUCUUUAUAUGUUUGAAUAUCUAAAAAGAAGAAAAAGCAACCAAAUUUUCAAGGGGAGGGGGGGGGGGGGGGGAACAUAUAUUCAAACAUAUAAAGAUUUGAAUUGAUUUUUAGUUCAUUCCAGGUUAUUUUCUCAAUAAAUCAGACAUUAAACACUCCUAAUAAUCAUAUCUGGCUUUAACUUCAACUAGUUAUUUUAAAUAAAUAUUAUCAGUUCAAGUCCCACAAACUUUAUAACUACUUAAUGUGAAACUAGCUGGCACCAAUUGAUGCAAGCUAAGUCAACAAAGUGGGCACCAAUUCGGUGCCACUUGCCUUGCUCUUGUCUUUUGCAAGACAAAGGCAAGGAUGCUUGCCUAUAAAUAGGCAGUGCAUCCUUGCCAUAUAUAUUACAACACAAGAGAGAAACAAGAGAGCAAGAAGAGAGAGUGAAGGAGAGUAAUCCCACAAAGUUGUGAGGUAUUUGUGAGAUAGUAAGUGAGGUGUUUUCUCCUAGUAAUAGAGAGAUUUCAAUUGUUCUCCUAUUAGUAGAGAGAGGUUGUAAUUCUCACAUUACUAAGUAAAAUCCUUACAUACUUGCCCGUGAACGUAGCCAAAUUGGGUGAACCAUGCAAAUUCUUGUGUCUAAUUUCUCAUUUUAUCCUAUUUUUUGUCUUUUAUCUUGUCGGGUUUACAUGCCAGUAUCCUAACACUUAAGACUUAUAUAAUUAUUAGUUUUAGGUCUUAUAUAAUUAGUAAAGGUAGAUGCAAGCUGUUACAUUAAUUAAAUAAAAAUUACAUUCGCAUAUGGCACAUGGUUGCAUUCAUGAUUGCAUUCGCUUUCACCCCCCGACUAUGAAGAAAGAUUCGUUUGAAAAUGGAGCCAGGAUACUGUGUAUCUACAUAUAUAUUCUUUGAAUGAAAAAUUGAGCUUUGUUCCAUUAGGAGUUGAAACCACCAAACUUGGCUUAAUUAAAUUUCAUUAAUCAUAUUUAAUGUGAUGAAUGUUCUUUGUAGCAGACGUACGUGAAGUGAUUUGAAAAAUAUAAAUAUUGAGUUUUAGAAACAUACAUUUCGUGAAAAUAAUUAUAUAAACACUUAUUGCACUAACCAAUAGCUAGCAGUUCAUAUAUUAAACUGUCCUUUCAUUCAUAUUAGUCUAACAAAAUUCUUAAUAGUGUUUCCUUUCUUUAUCCUCUUACUUUUUGUUAUUGAUUGCAUUAUUUAGUACGUUGUUUGUUGGUUUUUUUUUUAUUAGUAGUCUCUUUUAUUAGCAUGUUCUUGGUCAUCGAAGGUUUUUAUCAGAUUUUGAAAUUUGAUUUGAGAUCAAUUUAAAUUUAAUGAGAUGAUGUUUGAAUUUUUUUUCCAUAAAGACAAAAUUUAGAAAGAAUGAUAAAAAAACAAAAAAAACACAUGACCUUUCUAAAUUUUAGAGUGAAAAUGCACUUUUGUCCCUUUUUCUUUAUAUAUUUUUACUUUUGGUCCAAAAUUUAUUUUGUUAGGUUUCAAUUCGUGAGUUUGAAAGAAAAGAAAGAAAAUCACUUAAUAUUGAGUGAGGAGAGAGAAAGAGAUAGUUGGCCACAAUUCAACAACAAAAAAAAAUUGAUUUUAGUAAUAAUGGGUUUCACUUGCCAAGAAUAGUUUCAUUGUGGUUUUACAUUUUUCGUCUUAUUAGAGAAAAGUAGAUCGAAACUUGAAAAAUUGUUUUGAAUUGGAUGAUUUCUUAGUUUUUUGACCAGUUAAAAGUUGUUUUGAUGUUCGAUAUGGAUUUAUUGAGAAUUAUAGGGGUGUUUAUUAGAUGUUUUCAAGUGAAAAAUAACAAAAAAAAAAAAGGAAGAUUUUUUUUGGAUUCAAGAGAUUGAAACCUAACUUUCAGACCACCUAAUUUACCCGGAAAGGUUACCAGUUUAUCUCCCCCACAAUACGAGAUUAAAUAAAUCAUGAAGUCGAAUGAAGGUUUACAAGGUCAAAGAUGAAAUCACCCUGUAGAUAACACUUAUUUUGGGACCCAUUAUAUCUGAAAAUGUAGUCUUCAACAAAGCAUAUUCUCCUUCUUUCUUUGUUUUUUUUUUUAAUCUUUUGAUAUGCAUAUUAAUUCAACAUUUCAUAAGGCUUUUAUUAAUUAAGAUUUUAUCUGUAUAUUUCUUUUAUAAAAAAACAGUUUUUUUUUUAAGUUAUAAAUAUAAAUUUUUAGGAAUGUAAACACAUUACAAUGAAAGCAUGUUAAGUCUGGCCAUAGAGAUGGCCAUUUGUUUUUUCCUAACCAACUGUAAAUCAGAGGGCGCACGCCCUGACCAAUAAGAAACUGGGAACAACACGCCAUAGCUAUUGAAUCCAAGUUCGUCUUUCCUCCUCUCCUUCUUUUUCUUGGGUCAAAAAUCAUCAUCACCUCUCUGUUUUAUCCCUGUUAAAAAGACCAAUACAGCCCUCAAAAACAACCUUACUCUCCAACAAACCGAAGACAAAACCUACAGUGUUUUACAGUAAUUUCACUGCAUGUUUUAGCUUUUUGUUAAUUAAUAUAUUUUAUGUGAAAAAAUAAUAUAAAUAUUUAAAACAAAGCUGUUUUCUAAGUUUUAGACUAAAUAUAUUGUUUUAAACAACAAUAAUUUAUACAUUAAAGGGUCUUUUCGAUCCUACUAGACCAACAAAAUUAUAUAAAUAUUUAAAACAAAGCUAUUAAUAUGAUAUUUAUUAUGGAUUAUAUUCUAUUAUGCCUUUCAUUGUUAAAUUUUGUCAUCCAAUUUAUAAUUUGAAGUCAUUGGAGCAUAGCUAAUUGAAUAGCUAAAAUAGCAUCUUCUUACCAAGCUUACCGAUCGAGCCAAAAGCAAGUUGAAAGUAUAUAUACCCGUUAGUCAACAUAUCUUUGUUUACAGUUGGCAUUUGUUUUUCUCUUUAAAAACAGAACAAGAAGAAGAAAGAAGCCUGCAAACCUCAAUAGUGAUGUGUGUGGCUCAACCCCUGUUCUUGACAGGAAGGUGCCUCUGCUGCUCAAUGCGCGUUCGAUAUCCCUUUCAUUUCUCUCUUCACUUUUUCUCCACCGAAACUCCAUCUUCUUUACAGUGUAAGAAAAAGAUCCGUAAGAAAAUCCAGGAAACUUACCAGUACGAGGUCACGACCUAAAGUAACCGGAAAAAAUUCGAAGUCAUUGGAAUAAAAAGAAAGAAUAGGGCUUUGGAAGUUGGUUACUAAGAUACCAGAAGAAGAAGAAAUAUUGGGCUUGGCUGGAUCUUGUGCCUCUUUAGCCAACACUUACCACCCGGUUUGUUUUGUCUAGAUUCGUGAAGUACUCGUAGAAAUUUGGUGUUUUCUGAUUUCUAAGUAGAAUUGUACUUGUUCCAGCUUGAAAUUGCUAAUUGGUAGAUUUGAUUGCCAAAUUUCUUGAUCUUACCUUCUGUUACAUGUUUGACCACAGGAGCAGGCCUUACACAAAUUAGCGUGGAAAGCAAUUGCUGAACCAGGCUAGCUUAGUUGGGGCUAGAAAGGAUCAGUACUAAUUUAUUGCUAUAGGGAUUUUCAUGGCUUCCACCAGCGUGCAAGGAAUAACCUCAUCUUCAUCUUCUCCUCCUCCACUAUAUAUGUAAGAUGUGUUCCCUAGUUUUAGAGGCAAAGACACCCGGAACAACUUAAUUCUAAUCUGGCUCAGAGAGGCAUCAAUGUAUACAUGGAUGAUAGGGAGCUCGAGAGAGGAGAGACCAUCGAACCUGCUCUCUGGAAGGCCAUCGAAGAAACAAGGUUUUCUGUCAUUAUAUUUUCAAGAGAUUACGCUUCUUCACCAUGGUGCUUGGAUGAACUUGUCAAGAUUGUUCAGUGCAUGAAAGAGAUGGGGCACACUGUUCUGCCAGGCAUCAGUGUACAAAGGAAGAUUUUAUUUGAAAAUGAAACAAAAAACAAAAACAUAAUACAUGUCUACAUUUAUUAUUUAAAGAAAAAAUUGAACUUUGUUCCAUUAGGAGGUGAUGCCACCUAACUCGGCAUUUGACGCAACACUGAUGAAUUAUAGAACAAGUGAUGUGGCAGAGGUAAUAGAGAUUGAGGGUUUUGAGUAAUUAUAUGAAGAUUUUUCAUAGCUAAAUAAAGAAUUAUAAAAAAUAAACCUUAUAUAUGGUCUAGUAAAUGCUUCUAUGAACCAGUGAGAUGAGAUAAGGUUAAUUUUAAAAAAAUAUUUGAUGAAUCACACCAAACCAAUAAAAUAAUAAUAAAAUAUCAUAAUUUUUUUUUCUGACUUUUGAAUUGGACUAAAAUUUAUGUAGAUUAUUCCUAAGGCUUAGUUUUAUAAGUUGCUUAGCUUGUAGCGACCAUUGGAGUCCUGGAAGACCCCAAAUCAUGUCUCAAUGAUACUGUUUAAUUUAAUUUUGUUAUUUUUUUGGGAUUUGUUUUUGGAUUUUAUUUUAUUUUUUUAUUCUAAGCUAACUUUCCGUUUUGUUUUAGGAUAAUAAUUUUUCUUACCAUGUUAAGGUCAAUUUCACGCCGAUAAAAUUAAAGACUGUAAAUAUCCAGAGAGACAAAAGUUAUCAAUUCAUUAAUUCAGAAAUAAAAAUAAGAUCUUAGGGUUCUUAUUCUUGUUUUAAUCUUGUAGGGCUUUCAACUCUAUCAAAAAGUCUUCCCAUAAUUUUCAUUAAUUGUCUUUAAGAAUGGAGUUAUAGUUUGACUCACGAUGAUGAGGGAUGAAUGUUCUUUAUAGCAUACUUAAAGCUAUUUUGAAAACAUGACCUUUGAGUUUUAGAAACAAACACUAGGCAUGGACCCGUGAUUUGUUGUGAGUCUUAGGUGAUGCAAAUAUAUUUUAAAAAAUAAAAUAAAUUAACAAUUCAAAUUAUAACACUGACCAAAAUUAGUAAGUUGGUUUUAUUUUCAUUAGACGAUAAUAAUAUUAAUCGCACAAUUUCUUAUAAAAAAGGUCGUGAUGCCUUAGGAAAAAACAUUUGGAGCACGAAAUUGAAAACAAAAGGAUAAAAAAAAUAGUGGAUUGAGUCAACAAAAACUAAAGAAUAUAAAAAGGGGAAAAAUUAACUAUAUAAAAUGAACUAAAAUAAAAAAAAUAGUAAUUAAAAAAAAGAGGAUGAAAACCAAAAUAAAAAAUAAAUUAGAGUGGAACUACAUUUUUUUGAUUGGAGGUUUAAACUGAAAAUAAAAAUAACUCAAACAAAAAGAAAAAUUAAAAAAUAAUAAAGAUAAAAUUAAAAAAAUAAUACACUAUAAACCUGGAUUGAAUAAUGAUGUUAAAAACCAAUAAAACUUUUAUAAAAAAAUUAAGGAAAAAAAAAAUCCAAAUAAUUAAGGACAAAAUAAAAAAAGGAAUAUAUGAAAAUCAAAAUCGAAGGACUAAAUUGAAAAAGAAAUAAUGCUUAUACAAAAGGGCAAAGGACAAAAGGAAACAAAAGUAAAAAAUUUAGGACCAAAUUGAAAAUAAUAAAAUAAAAUAAACUUGAAUUGAAGGUUGAAAUUGAAAAAAAAAACUGUCAUAAAUGGUUAACUAAAAAAAUUAGAAAUAAAAAAAAUAAGGAUGAAAUUGAAAAAUAUAAUAUAUUAAAUAUUAAAAUUGAAGGACUAAAUUGAAAGGAAAUAAAACUUUUUAUAAAGAGUCAAAGACACAAAAAAGAAAUCAAAAGAAAAAGGGUAAAAACACAAAUACUAAAAGCAAAGAAGAUCAAUAUGUAAUGUUUUUUAGGAGCAGAGAGAAAAGAAGAAUAAAAAAAGGUUCGCUACAUAUGACUGUUUUGUUGUUAACGAGAGGAAAAGAGGUGAUCGUUGAGUGGUUGUUAGGGCAGCUGGUAUGGGUGGUGGCUGCUGUGGUGGUUUGAUGUGGCUAUUUAGGUUGGUGUGAAGGAGAGAGGCUGUUUAUGAUAAAAAUAUUAAAGUCUGAGAUUCUAAACUCAAUUUAAUAUUGGCAAUGGGAGAUGCUUGACUUGAAAUUCAUUAAAAAAUAUGAAUCAACUCAAUUGUGAUAUGUGUGGCCUAACCCCUGCUCUUGACAGGAAGGUGCCUCUGCUGCCCAAUGCGCGUUCGAUAUCCCUUUCAUUUCUCUUUUUGCUUUUUCUCCACCGAAACUCCAUCUUCUUUACAGUGUAAGAAAAAGAUCCGUAAGAAAUCCAGGAAACUUACCAGUACGAGUUCUUGAUCUAAAGAAACUGGAAGAAAUUCGAAGUCAUUGGAAAAAAGAAAGAAAGAAAGAAAAGGGCUUCGGAAGUUGGUUACUAAGAUACCAGAAGGAGAAACAAAUAUUGGGCUUGGCUGGAUCUUGUGUCUCUUUAGUCAACACUUACCACACGGUUUGUUUCAUCUAGAUUCGUGUAAUACUUGUAGAAAUUUGGUGUUUUCUGAUUUCUAAGUAGAAUUGUACAUGUUCCAGCUAAUUUCUUGAUCUUACCUUCUGUUUCAUGUUUGACCACAGGAGCAGGCCUUGUACAAAAUAGCGUGGAAAGCAAUUGCUAAACCAAGCGAGCUAGUUGAGGCCAGAAGGGAUCGGUACUAGUUUAUCGCUAUAGGAAUUUUCAUGGCUUCCACCAGCGUGCAAGGAAUAACAUCAUCUUCAUCUCCUCCUCCUCCACUAUAUAUGCAUGAUGUGUUCCUUAGUUUUAGAGGCAAAGACACCCGGAACAACUUUACUAGUCAUCUAUAUUCUAAUCUGAAACAGAGAGGCAUCGAUGUAUACAUGGAUGAUAGGGAGCUCGAGAGAGGAAAGACCAUCGAACCUGCUCUCUGGAAGGCCAUCGAAGAAUCAAGGUUUUCUGUCAUUAUAUUUUCAAGAGAUUACGCUUCUUCACCAUGGUGCCUGGAUGAACUUGUCAAGAUUGUUCAGUGCAUGAAAGAGAAGGGGCAAACUGUUCUGCCAGUGUUUUAUGAUGUGGAUCCCUCAGAGGUAGCUGAGCAGAAAGGGAAAUAUAAGAAAGCCUUCGUUAAGCAUGAAAAAGAUUUCAAGGAAAAUUUGGACAGGGUCCGGAGCUGGAAAGAUUGUCUCUCUACGGUGGCCAAUCUAUCUGGGUGGGACAUACGGAAUAGGUAAAUCAUUUAUCAAGGCAUCUUUAUAAAAAAAAUUCAGGCUAUGGGAAAAAACUAGAAAAUUAAUACAUUUAAAGAUUUUUUUAAAAUUUUAUUUGCAAGAUAAUUGAAAUUUUUGUUAAAAAUAAUUAUAAAAAUAACUUAUUGGUCGACAAAAAAUAAGAUAGAAUUUCAUUUGCUUUUUGGUCUAUUAAAACCAAACUUAAUGGAUAUUUUAUUUCCUAGCUUUUGUCCUUGUAUGCAUGCUUCUGUAGUAUCUGUGUGAUUCUAUAGGCAAUAAGAUAACUAUUGUACGGAUCAUUCUUAGCAUAAACACAAUCCUAGUUCCGUUUUCAGUUUGUUCUUUCCUUUUUUUCCUCUCUGUUCUUGAAGCUGUGUAUUGUGAUCAGGCCCCUAUCUUUCUCGAAGAUUGAUGUAUUCAUUUCCGGCUAACAGCCAUACAAUUUUUUAGCUAGAAUAUGCUAAUAUUUAUUUUCUUUUUAUCACUAUCUGAUUUGAUUUCUGCGCACAGCAUGAUUAAUGUUUUCCACCAUCAUAUGCAGGAAUGAGUCGGAACACAUUGAAAAAAUUGUUGAAUACAUAUCGUACAAACGAAGCAUCUUUUUGCCAACAAGUAGCAAAAAUCUAGUUGGAAUAGAUUCUCGUCUAGAGGUAUUAAAUGGUUAUAUAGGCAAAGCAAUCUUCAUAGGGAUUUGUGGAAUGGGUGGCAUAGGUAAGACGACUGUUGCAAGGGUAUUAUAUGAUAAGAUUCGUUUGCAAUUUGAAGGCAGCUGUUUCUUAGGAAAUGUCAGUGAUGGUUUUGCUGAGAAAGAUGGACCACGUCGUUUGCAGGAACAACUUCUUUCUGAAAUCUUAAUGGAACGUGCUUCUGUAUGGGAUUCUUCUAGAGGGAUUGAGAUGAUAAAGCGGAGGUUACGACUUAAAAAGAUUCUUCUUAUCCUUGAUGAUGUAGAUGACAAAAAACAACUAGAAUUCUUGGCUGAGGAGCCUGGAUGGUUUGGUCCAGGGAGCAGAAUUAUCAUAACUAGCAGAGAUAAAAAUGUGUUAACUGGAAUUGAUGAUACUAAAAUUUACGAGGCUGAGAAAUUGAAUGAUGAUGAUGCUCUUAUGUUGUUUAGCCAGAAAGCUUUCAAAAAUGACCAGCCUGCUGAAGGUUUCGUGGAACUAUCCAAGCAAGUUGUGGGUUAUGCUAAUGGCCUUCCACUGGCUCUUGAAGUUAUAGGUUCGUUUUUGUAUGAAAGAAGUAUCCCUGAAUGGAGAGGUGCAAUUAAUAGAAUGAAUGAGAUUCUUGACGGCAGAAUUAUUGAUGUGCUUCGUGUUAGUUUUGAUGGCCUCCAUGAACCAGAUAAGAAAAUAUUUUUAGACAUUGCAUGUUUCCUGAAGGGGUUUAAAACCGAUCGAAUAACAAGGAUACUUGACAGCCGUGGAUUCCAUGCAGGUAUUGGAAUACCAGUUCUUAUUGAGAAAUCUCUUAUGAGUGUCUCUCAGGAUCAAGUCUGGAUGCAUGAUUUAUUACAGAUAAUGGGCGGCGGCGGCGGCUGCAGCACGGGCGGCGGCGGCAGCUGCUGCUCAAGCAGCGGCAGCAGCACCAGCAGCAGCAGCAGCUGCUGCUCAAGCAGCGGCAGCAGCACCAGCAGCAGCUGCUGCUCAAGCAGUGGCAGCAGCACCAGCAGCUGCGGCAACAGCACCAGCAGCAGCUGUUGCUCGAGCAGCUGUUGCUAGAGCAGCUGUUGCUCGAGCAGCUGCAGCACCAGCAGCUGCCUUGGGUUUGGUUUGGAAUCUAACUUGCUUUAGCUUGAAGAUCUUCGUCAGUUUUUGCUCAUGGUUUUGGUUUGGGGUAAUUAGAUUCACAUUUUGCAAUGUUGGUUAUCGGUGGCGCCGUCUCGGUGUUUCUGCUACCGUAGAUUCCAAGAGGUUUUUCCAGCUACUAAUUCUAUAAAUAUAAUGAAAACAGAAAUGAGAAACUCGUCAGUACUGUUUCUAUUGAUGUAGAACGAGGAAGAAGACGAGGGGGAGAAUAGAUGGAGGAGGAGAAUAGUGUUAGAAGAAUAGAAAGGUGACGAAUAAAUACAAGGAUAAUACAAUAACCGUUAAUGUAAAUACAAGGAUUAUACAGUACAAAAUAUAACCUGUAAGUAAGAAAACAAUAUUGAAAAGGAAAGAUUGUAGAGCAAAAUAUAUAUAUUAUUAUUUAUUAAAUGUAGUAUUUUAAGUAGUGAAUAACAAUGAUUAUUAUUAUUAUUUAAUGUGAUUAUGCUUAAUUAACUAGCGACACAAAUUUCCUAGGACAUGGUUAUAUUAUUUUUCGCUUCUACUAUUUUUUGUUAUUUUUUCUAAUAUUAGUAUUUCUAAUCUAAAUAAAAUAUUUAAUGUUGUUUGUUAUAUGGUUAUAUGGUUGUAUGGUUAAAACCAUUUUCUCCCAGCAGCAGGCAUUUUACAUUCAAAAUACAUGAAAAUUGAUCAGAAGUGCGACCAAGCUUUAUGCAUGCAUUUUAACCAUUCUAAACAAUUCUCUCAGUUCUCUAUUUUAAGAGGUAUUUGUUAUUGCGGUAAUAUAUAGUUAUUUUUUAAAAUGUUGUUUUAUUUAAAUAAGAUUUUUUAUCUUUUAAAAUUUAAUUUUAAUACAAUAUUUUUAUAAAAAAACUUAAUUUGAAGUAAAAUAAAUAAACAAAAAAUUCAAUUUUAAAAAAUUUAAAAAACAAAUAAGCGCUCUAAAUCCCAGCAACCUAUUAGAUAAAAUCAUUAGGAAAUGCGAUAUUUUUAAUGUCUUACUUUUAUGUUAAGUCUCAAUUUGUAAAAAAAUUAGAAAUAUCAUAUUAAUUGUUAAUUAUAUCAAAUUUGAUAUUCAAACUUUUGAUUAUUAUAUAUUUUGUUUUGAAUCUUUUUUUUUUUAUUUCAUGUCUUAGAGUUUGAUCUAAUUUGAUUUUUAUAUCAACUUUGGUCUUGAUUUUUAUGAUUGUUAUUUAUUUUUUUCUUACUAUUUUUUUAUUUGAAAUUUUUUAUCUAUUAUAUUUGGUUAUCAUUCUUUUGAUUAUUAUUUAUUUUAUUUGAAAUAAUUUAUGAAAUUGUAAUUAUUUUUUUAAUUUCAUUAUCUUUUAAUUUUUUUAUCUAUUAUAUUUGAUCUCCAUUAUUUUGAUUGUUAUUUAUUAUAUUUGAGAUAAUAAAUGAAAUUAGAUUUUUUAAUAAACUUUUUUUAAAAAAUAAUAAGUUAUUCUCCAGCUUAUUUUUUAUGACAUAAUUAAAUACUGAAAAAUAUUUUUUAAUUUAUUUUUCAUGAUACUAUCAAACAAAUUAAUUUUUCAACAAAAAUAUUAUUCAAUAAAAUUAAUUUUCAACAAACAAUUGCAAGGUGUUUGUUUUUUCUUCUAAAAAACAGAAAACCACCUUCGACGUGCAAUGCAACAUUUCAUGCCCCAAUCAAAGGAAAACACUACUACGAUAUUGGGAAUUAAAGUUUGCUGGUAGUAAUUAAUUUUAUGUUACAUCUUUGGUGAACAUCUUGGAUUCAAUUUGCCAAAUUCUCAGUUAUUCUUGAACUAACAUAAAUCUUGCAACCCAAGAUAAUUUUUAUUAAUUUUUUUUUUACAAAGACUUAUUUUUCAAGUUGAUACAAUGAAUGAAUUAAAUAGUUUUUCAAUUUUCCUUCUUUUGAAAAUGAUUUGUGGUUGGAUUGCUCUAAGUUCACUCACUAUUUUUAAAUUCAAUAAAAAAUGGUGUUUGAUUAUUAUUAUUUUAAAAUAAAAAAGAUAAAAACAACAAAAACAGAAAAAAUGUAUGGACAUAUAAUUUAUGUUUUGGAUUUUAUAUAUUUCCUUUUAUUUUUUAGUUAAAUAUAUUUUUAUUUUUUUUUACUAAACAAACACAACCUACAUGUAAAUAUAAAUUCAAAAUAUCUUUACUCUAAUAAAAAAAAAAUAGUAACAAUUGUUUUUAUAAGCCUGACAAAUUGUCGCUUUGGUAGGCAAGCUUUUAAAUAGAAUAUGAAUUUCGGAAGGUAUUUCUUUAGUAAUUAAUAAACUUCUAUACUUUUAUUAUUAAUAGCUUUAUAUUCACAACUAUAUAAACACACACACACACACACACACACACACACAUAAAUAUUAAGAUAUAUAAUCACUUACUCUAAAAUUGGACUUGCUUCGUUUGUAACUGGUUUAAGACAAAAAUAAUAAAAUUUAAUUCUACAUUCCUAAUUUAUAUGCCAAAAUUAUUUUUCUUUGUUAUUUCAAAUUGGCCCAACUUUAUCUUAAGAAUCCACCCAGGACUUGCAAUUUAUAACCCCAAGCCCUUGGAAACUUUUGAGAUUAUACAAAUGCCCCUUCUAGUCCUAGAUUCAUGGCAACACAAGUAGUGAAAAGAGAGAAACAAACAAGACGAUUUAGCCAAAAACCCCAAAGAAGGUUUAUGCAGGGUUUAAGGCGGCCGGUAUGCUAAUACCACUACCAUACCCUCUCUAUGAACUCAUUUCUUUUCUCAAGUUGCAUUACCCGCGCAUUUCAAUUCAUCUCUCAAUCACUUCAAUUCCACUUCUUUCUUUUUUUUCAUUUCCUUUAAUUAGAGUGCCAACUCCCUUAUAUUUUCUACCAAAAAAUUUGAUCCUUUGAUUACUUUUGAUAAGAAACCCACAAUUCUAUCUCUAAACCAUCCACAGUUAUGUGGAGAAACGUCGCAAAACAAGCCACUUUGAAAUCCCAAUCAAAGUCCAUCAAUUUCCCUUUUCCAAGAACUUACAGCCUUUUAGGAGCCUCUAAAGAACCCAUCUUUUUUGAGAAACUCAAGUUCCAUGCGCUUAAUAACACAAGUCCACGACCGAGUUUUCGAGCAAUUGGCGAAAUAUCAACCCAUGAAGAUUUUAUGGGAAAACCCAGUUUUAUUUUUUUGAGAAAUAGUGAUAGUACUAAUGGGAAUCGCUGUGCUGGAUUUUGUCCAAGAGGGUAUGUGAGUGUAGCUGAGGCAGUGUCAUCAACAGAUGUUGAAGAUAAUGUGUCUGGUGCCGAUGAAGUGCAAGACUUGCUGCCCGAAAUGAGGAAAGAAGAGGAGAAAGAGGAGCACUUUAGGAGGAGGAGGCUACAUGCUAACCCUGGAAUAGGGUCAAGGAAGCAUAGGGUCUUAAGGAGGAGGCAAGUGAAGAUUGAGGCGGAAGCAUGGGAACUGGCAACGAAAGAAUAUAAGGAUCUUUUGAAGGAUAUGUGUGAGCAUAAGUUGGCUCCUAAUUUGCCAUAUAUGAAGAGUUUGUUCCUUGGUUGGUUUGAGCCUUUUACAGAUGAAAUUGCGAAAGAGCAGGAGUUGAUUAGAACGGGGAAGAGUAGGCAGGGUUAUGCUCCGUAUUUUGAUCUGUUGCCAGCUGACAAGAUGUCUGUUAUUGCAAUGCAUCAACUCGCAGCAAUGGUAAUGACAGGUGGGGAACAUGGAUGUGCAAGAGUUGUAACUGCUGCUUGUAUGAUUGGUGACGCAAUUGAGCAGGAGGUAAGUAAUUUUUAAUGUUUUAUUUGUUUAUUUUUACUUGCGGUUUGAUUUGUAGACAGAGGAUAAUGAGUGCCCAUAUAAAAAUAUUGAAAGAUAAGGGAAAACAUAAAGUUUCUUAAAUUUACUUGUAGACAACCUUCAUCCGAGGUGAUGAACUAGGAAGAAAGAUGAAAGUUACUAUGUACAAUUAUGAGAUAAAAAUAUGGAGCUAGUAGUGCCUGGAAAAUUAGAUUUUGAAGUUACGUUCCGUAAAGUUUUGUCGAAUGUUGAAUGGGGUUUUUCUGGAUUUCUUUUUUAUAUAUCUAUAGUUUUUACUUUCAGUCCAAGUUCUUCUGCUGUUCAUGGUUCCAGGGAGGACACUAAAUGUAGGUACGAAAAACAAUGUGUAGUGUAAGAUCCUUUAGAUACUAAGUUUUUACAAUUUUUUCAUUAUGUGUUAAACUUUUCAUAUCAUGGGCCUUAUUAGGCUGAAUAUUCUAUUACGCCUUUCUUUUUUGAGCUACAAUUUCUUCAAAGCAUGGGCAUGGUGGACUCAUAAGAGUGACAUUCAACUUUCCUUUGUCUGAGCUCAUCUCAUGUUUCGACAUUGUUUCACUAUGGAUUUAUACUUUUGCAUUUCCCUGUUGGGGACAGCAAUUAUCUUUAUCAUUUCAAUUAUGUGUGUUCUUGUUUGUGCCUUUGUUUUGUAAGUUGUUUAAGUUUUUCUCUUAGUUAGACUUUAAAGGCACGCGUGACACUUUGCUCUACUGUCUCUUCUGACUAUGGGAGGUGCUUCCUCUUUUCUUUUCCUUUUUUUUUUUUAAAAAAAGAACUAUACAAUGAAGAGAUAUUUAGGUGUACCAUUCUUAAUCCAUUUUUUGGAACUCCUAACUCUUCAGUCUUGUUCUCUUUCUUUGAACCGAGGACUGAAUCUGUAACAGUUUCUGUGAUGAAACAGAUUAGAAUACACAAUAUCUUGGAGAAAACAAGGAAGAAAAAGGAAAAGGCUAAUGAUAGCAAGAAUGGUGUAGAAGGUGAAUCCCCUGCUGUCAUGAAGGAACAAGAAAACCUAAGAAAAAAGGUUACUGAUUUGAUUAAAAAACAAAAGCUGCCAGCUGUGAGGAAGAUUGUGAAGGCGAAGGAUGAUUCAAAACCAUGGAAUGCAGAUGCUAGGGCUAAGGUUUGUGUGCUUGUAAUCAUUGAUAAAGGCUAAUUUUCUUGCACAAAUGUAUCGUGUACGAAUUUGAUUUCUGUC